rnacentral:lncRNA from 1 species
GGCGGUGAGGGAUAGAAGCGGUGGCCGCGAGCGCGGUGACGGGUGGCCACGGGAACAGGGUACCUGCAAAGGGGUUUUUCUUUCUCCUCUAGUUUGAACCGAGAGAGAAAGAGAGAUUCCUUUUUUUUUUCUCUGGUGAAAACCGACAGAGGGGAGGGAGGGCCUGGUGAACACCGAGAAAGAGGAAAAAAAAGGGAACGCUGGAUCGUGGCUUUGGCAGCAGUGGCAAAGCCGAGGCUCUGAUACCAAGUUGAUGUAGAACCUAUUCCAGAAGAAGAGGGAGAAGAGAAGGAGGAAGAGGAGGAGAAGAAGGAGAAGAGAAGAAGAGAGGAGGAGGAUACGUGGGGGAGAAAAUUUCUUAAACUUUCAUUAAACCCUAAUCAUGAAAAUAGAUCCCUAUAUAUAGGGCCAAAAUACACAAUUUGCAUAAAUCCCCUUACACAGAAAUAAAUCCUAAUAAACCCACAAAUAACACAAAUAAGCCCUAAAAUGCAAACAAGCCCAGAAAUAAAAUAAAUAAAAUAAAUAUGCAAAUAAACGAGUCUGGCUCAAUCCGGAGGCUCAGGAUCAUCUGGAUGAAGGGCUCUGAUGUCCCCAUCAGGCAAGUAAUCUACCCUGGGAUUGGGAGAUAAAUGCAACCAGCUACUCUCAAAGAUUAUUCUAAUCCUCAGUGUGAGCAAGUAUAAUGCAAGUAUGGUCAUAAUCAGACACAACGCGUUCGCUUACAGCCUUUCAGCACUUCUUUCAAGGUCUAUAAAGUAGCUCCAGAUUAUGCUAUUGCUAGUAUCCAGGACCGCUGAGGACCCCCCUUAUUUUACUCAGGAUGUUUGUUAGUGUUGGACACAAGAUGGGCAUUUCAUAUACAACUGGUUCAUUAUAAGUAGGAUAAAUCUGACCAUAAUUGGGAAAAUAGUGAUCCAUUGUUGACAAAAGUGCACUUUUUCACUGCCUCAUGUUCGCUAAAUGUCAAGUUCUAGAAAAAAUAAUUACAUAUAUGUACGUAUUCAUGCAAUGGGGGGGUAAUAGCUGAGGAUAUAUUCCCAACCAAAGUGCCUGCAAAUUGCAAGUGUUUUGAAACCAUAGAAGAUUUUCUGAUACGUAGAAAUUCAGGACAUCAGGCAGUUGUUAGAGCUGAAUUUGUAUGGACGAUCAUUCAACUUCGUAUUCACGUUAUCUGACAUGGAUAAGUUGAUAGGAUCUUCACUUGGUUAAAUUUUAUUAUAGAAAUGAAGAAUAAGACCAUGUAGUUGAGCAUGUGCAUGUUUCUUAGCGUGGAAUCAAUCUAGCAGCUCAUGGACCACGACCUUCUCCUCUAUGACUCUGAGGCGUGUAAUGUUCAGGUCCAGCAAGCUACCAUUAAAAAGGAGAGGUUUUUAUAUCAUGAACUCAUCAAUCAGUCAUAGCUAUCUAUUAUGUUAAAAAUCACCAUGUAACACAACCAUAAAGAGUAAUUGAAACUAGCAAAGUCCUUACACACAGUCACUUCUACACGCUUAGCUGGAAAACAAUAAAAACAUAAAGCGUUAGUUUUAGAAUUUUAAUUCACAAGUAAAAAAGCAUUUUUAGUACUCUAUUUCAUAAUAAGCUUAAGCUUGCAUCCGAACAUAUUAUCCACAAAUAAAACUUCAAGAUGAAACAAGAUCAUAUAAAUAUCUAAAUAGAGAGCAUAAAAAGAAAAAAAACCGAAUUCCCCUGGCGAACCCAAGUACCAGAGAGCAACCCUAGAUGGAAGCAAACCCUUCCACUUUAGACAACCAACAGGAUCUACCAAGACCUAACCUAGAAUCCAGUUCGUUUAGGAAAAGCCACAGAACCCUAAAACCCUUUCAAUGAGAAUCCCUAAACCCUAAUAUCACCGACUAGAGAGGGAAAGGGGUAAAAGGAAAAAAAAUAGAAUAGCCUAUUGCUGAUAGACAUAACCGAGAGGAGAAGAAGAAGAAGAGAGAAUACCUUCGGCGAUUUCAAGGAUUGAUAGGAGAGGAAAGAAGAUGGCGAAGGGGAACGACGCCGCAAGAGCAGAAGCUCGCUUCCAGCAACAACGCGUCGGUGGGCGACCCCGGGUGUAGAAGAAGAUAUACUCAGGCAGGUCGAAAUUACCAAAAUAACCCUGAUGUCCACCGAUGGUUCCCCGUCGGACCCGACCCGAAUCCCGAGCCUGAACACAGCAAACCCAUUUGGCCAGGUUGCACGGAGUCCUGAAUCAGUCCUGCUGUCCCGACCGGACCCAACACAAGACCCACAUGUCACGUAAGGCCCAUCUAAUGGACAAUGGUAUUUCUGCAUAAAUUUGAAAUCCGAGUCCUAGAGUUAGCUAAUUUGGAUUGGUUACAUGUCAAACAACAGGCUGUUUGGUUGCAUGCAUCUCUAGUUGCAUCUCCAACCAAAGAUUAUUAUUAUUGUAUUCCAGCUUCGCUUACUCUUCUUCCAGGAGUUGUACUUCUUUGUAGAUGUCANNNNNNNNNNNNNNNNNNNNNNNNNNNNNNNNNNNNNNNNNNNNNNNNNNNNNNNNNNNNNCAUACAUGCAUCCAGGGCAAGCUUAACUUCUUCUUCAAAGGAAGAAAUCUUGACUUCUAGAUCAUCGGUGGAAGUAGUUAUGGCAUCUAUUUCCUUGGUCACGUCAGCCAAUGGAUGGUGAAUAUUAGAAAGGUUGGCCAUUCUAUGACAAAGAUCAUCAGCUUGAGUUGCUGGGAGGUAGACUGAAUGUUGAAGGGUUGAGUUGCAUUUGAAAAUUUGGUUAUGCUCUCUAGAAAAACCAAUUCAUUGAUCGGGGUGGUGGGAAAGUGAUGCAAAAGCAACAACUACUUAGCCAUCCUCACUUCUAUAGUACUGCAGCUCACAAAUUUUUUUUUACUCUAUCUUGGACUAUAACUCUCAGUUUUUCCCCCACUUUUUAUAAAAGAUCUCUCUAUUACCUCAGAUGCCGGAUUCGGGUUGGAAAGAAGUAAGCGGGGACUGGACAGGCGGAGGCGGCGGCGGCGAGCCGAAGGAUAGAAGGGUCUCAAAGCCGAGGAAAAUUAGGAAUGGAAAUUGAAGGGCUGAGGAUCGACCGAUCGGGGGGAAAUCACGGAUGGAUCCGAUCGGGCGAACGGCUUGGUUCCGGCUCGGGUUCACCAACCAAAACCGAAGCGCCGCUCGGUCCGAGUCCAAACUCAAACUAGCUUAGGGUCUAGUUAGAUUUAGGCUCCGAUGGGGCCUCGGGCUUGAUUCCGAGCUUAAUUUCAGGCUAGAUUCAGCCUAGGAAUUGUUAUUUCAUUAUAAACCCACGUCACUGUUUUCAACAUUAAUUUAAAUUUCUAAAAUCUGAAAUAUGCAUUACAACAUAGCAAUAGAAAUAAUAAAAGAAAUCUCAGUUGACAUAUUAAAACUGUAAUCUAAGAUAACAAUUGAUUUAGCUAGAGAUGAUGAUUUGGACUUUGGAGAAAAUUUGACAAGUUCAUCAAAAGUUCGAAUAACCAAAGAUUAAUAACAGAAUAAUAAAACUGAAAAAUAUAAGCUUUCUGAUUUAUUUAUGCAUUUAUCUAUUUAAUUUUUAAUAUAGAAGAGCCAAGGAUAACAAAUAAUGGCAGAAAGCAUCACUCCUAAAAAUAAUAUAUGGUAUCAUUAAUUUGUAAACAUAAAAUUUAUUAAAUUUGUCAUGAAUUACUAGCAAUUAGAUUGCAAAAUUUAUGUAUAAUUCAAGAAUAAUUGAGUAGCUCUGAAGCUUAUUUGUUUUUGGAGAUGGUUCAAAAAAAUCAUUGAACCAUGAGAAAAUCUAGAAUAUUUAAGAAUUAUUUAACGAUUCAGAGAAUAUUGUAAUCAUAGUCAUUUUGCCUCUGAUAUGUAUAGCCUGGUGACACGUCCACAUGGUUUACAGAUCCUUCGGUACUCAGCUAUCCAGGUGGCGGACUACUGGUACAAAAAUUAACAGGAUAUCAGGUAGAAUAUCUUGGCCAAUAGCUAUAGACAGAAUAAAAGAUCGAUUUAAUCAUAAAUUUCAUUAAUGAUUCAGAGAACAUUGUAAUUAUGGUCAUUUUGCCUCGUAUAUGUACAGCCCGGUGACUCAUGCGCAUGCUUUGAGGUUCUUCGGUAUCUCAGCUAUCCAUCCAGGUGGUGGACAACUGGUAACAAAAUUACCAGGAUAUCAGGUUGAAUAUCUUGGCCAAUAACAAUAGAUGGAAUAAAAGAUUAAUUUAAUCAUAAAUUUCAAUAUUGGAGUAGAAGAAUUUUUGCGAAGAUAUUGGUCCUAUACUGAUUGAAGUGAUUAUAACUCAGUUGUUUAUAUAAUAAUAAUUAGAAGAAGAAGAAGCAAAAACACUUUUUCGAUAAAGAAAAGCGAAUGUUUGCCUUACAUCAAGAGCACAAAAAUACCUGCAAAAAAUACCGCACUAUGAUUUUAAACGUUUAUUAGCUUGCAAGAACUAGUAGAAGCAACAACCACCUAUGAUACUUCCAAACAGUAUCACUGUCAAAAUAAAUCCAAUGGAAUUAGAUUUCCAUGCCUCGUUAUAGAAUUAAAAUGAUCUUGAAUUUAUCAUAUCCAAAAAUAAAUAAAAAUAUCAAUCCGGAAGCUAGACAGGAGACAACGAUUCUGUAGGUGACAUUACAGACAUUUGCUAUAGGAAAAUAAGAUAAAAGUAGACAACAAUCGCUAGAAGCCACAAAUACGGCAUGCUUUGCAACAGAAUCAACAAAGCUAAAGAUUGGAUAUUGAAAAUUCUACUAGAGAGACGUCCCUCUUCUCUAGUUUGGCAUCUUCAACAUUGUGGAUCCAAGUACCAUGCUUAUGGUUUGCCCCAUGAGUUAGCAAGACGAGCUAUUUAACAGUUGGGAUUUUAUUUUAUUCACUCAGUUGCUCACAUGAGCAAGCAAUAUGCAUCAUGUGCUAGUUUGCUAACAAGUUAUGAGGCAGCACCAACUCGGGUGUACCCUACAAACAUUCCUUUCGGAACUCAGAACCCUUCUGCAGAAGCAUCACCAUCAUCCUCAUCACCACUGCCAUAUGUUUCAAGAUCAGCUUCUUCAACUUCAUCCUGGCAUUGGAAAAAUUGUAUCCAUCAGAUGACUAUUAACGAAAAACCAUGUAUUACAUGCAAAUUAGUUCUGGCAAAGAACCCAUAUAAUUAGCUGCUGUGUACUGCUACAAAUUUGCUAGUUCAUGAUCAACUAACAGAUCAUUUGUCCAAUUAAACAUGAUAUAAAAACCCAGAUAUCUGGAAAUUAUAUAAUCAGUCUAGUAGAAUUUCAAGAACGAAGAAAAUCAAUUGUUUUAGCAUUUGUUCUAGGCUUAUAACUGUAAAGUUAUCUAUAGAUUUACAACCAGCCUAUAACUUCAGUCAUCUACCAUAGAUUGGCAAUCAGACAGAACCUGCUUAUCAAAUUCGCUACCAAAUUGGAAAUGCUGAAAAUCAGACAUACACAUGUGACUGGAAAAAUAAUAUAGCUUUAUAGUAUCAAAACUCAUGAUCAGGCACGUAUGCAGGAAGCUGCAAUCAAGACUGAAGUUCAAGUAGUUUGGAAGAGGUCAUUAGCAAUAGGCAAAAUCCCAGCACUUAGAUGCUCGAAAAUUUAUUGACAAACUUUGCAUCCUCACCUCCACAUAAUCAUCAGAAAAUAAGCAUCAGUAAGCUGCAAAUCCAAUUCCUUAUUGCCUGAUUCCUUGUCAGCCUUUAUUUGAUUCCACAGGAAACAACGAGGAAAAUAAUCAGCUCUAAGAAAGAUUAACAUUUCUCAAGCAUCUACUGAAGUCCCAAGCUAUAGUAAUUAAACCAAAAAAAAGAAUAUUUCGGUCCUGCAGAUUUGAAAUACAUUGGUUCAAUGCCUGAAAAUUUCCAUAUUAGUAAAAGAGAGGAAUCAUCACAAAGAACUCCCCCUUCCUAAUAUCGACUUGCCAAUUGCCAAGGGCUUGACAUAUCAUUUAUACAAUGCCAUAUCAACCAACAUAUAUAUUUGCUUGUGUUACCAAUGUUUCACAUAUUCAGUAGCAUCUUGGGGCUCAAAAUAUUGGGCUGUAAAAUGUCCAUUGAAGCACAAUGAUUAUAUUGUGGUGGAACAUUUAAUAAAGUUGAUUCUUAAACAAAAACAGAAAAACCUGUGUAAAAGGUUACCCUUCUUCUCAAAAUCCUUCCACCACAAUUCUGUAUAAGAAACAAGUGAAACUGUCAAACAGAUAUGCAGAAUAAGACUUAUCUGACAGUGUCAAUUGAAGUUUUUAACAAAUAAAUAUGGUUUUAUGUUUAUAGUUUUUGGUUUCAAUUCAUAAGUAUACCUAUUCUUGUUCUAAACUAAUUAAUCAGGCUAAGAAAAGACAUUCUUUAGAAAUUCAUGGAAAUUUAAGUAACAUUAAAUUGAUAUCCACUUUAUUAUAUAUUUAAGAUUGUAUAUUUUUUAUCUUUUUUUCCUCCCUCAUGAGCUUAAAUAGUUAAUAUAAUCUAUUAUAUCCUAUAAUUUUAUCAUCACUUAUAUGUAUACCUGCAUAACUGGGAUGAAAGAUUUCAUUAUGAAAGAAUGUUCUUUAAAUGCUCCAGUUCUGCAACAUUAAAAGUAAAUCAAUAAAAGAGGGAAACCUCUGAAGUCUUAACUAUUCCGAGCUUUUUCAACCCAUCUUUCAAUUGAUUUGGCACAUGCUGUUGUCACAUUCAGUACCACUUAAUGAUAAAGCAUAUCUGCAUUAGUACAGUACAUAACAAUAUGUUGUGGCCAUUUUGGGUUUGGCAAACCUUGCAUGAUACUUAGGUCAUGCUUCUCAUUUUUCAUUGCAUGCAUUCUUAAUGCUGGGAUUUGUAGAUGCCUUUGUAAUUCUCAACUAACAAGUAACAAUAGAUGUAGUAGAUUAGGUCUUCCACUAGUUCUAACAAGAAAGAGAGGCUUCAUGACCUAUCUUGAUGCAACUUCAGCUUAAUGUCUUAAAAAUUUUGCAACAUUUUGUGCUAGUGCAUCCAAGCACUUGGCUCAAUACAAUAGAACUUGGUGCGGUCAAUUUAAAAUUUACAGAUUCUGGUACCAAUAACAAUACAUUAAACUUAGCUUGUCAUUCCUUUAGACAUGCCACUAAUGCAAAUCUAGAGUCUCAAUGUAGUUUCCUCACUAUCAAGAAGAUGAUGAGUUUUGCCAGCAUCAAACCCAUAUUUUUUUAGCUGAAUAGAAUGAUCAAAAAUGAUGCAACUUACUCAGGGUGUAAAUAGUGCACUUUAAGACAAAUUUAUUUAUGUUUGGAUUUGAUUGGCAUAUUUUGAUAGCUUAGUAGACAUAGCAUUUAUGCGAAUAACUUAGCCAAGUACAAGAUAUUAUAAAUGAAAAGUCUAUCAUACUAAUCAAUAUCUUGCAAAUACAUAGAUUUCUCACCAUGGUGCCCACUCCCAUCACAUAGUUUGGAACUAUUCUGUCCUUUUUCCAUAGUCCACAUAAUAAUGCUGUUCAAACCAGCUUCAUUUAAUAGGAUUUGCAGAUAUUGACUUCUCAAUUUGCUCGCUAACUAUGUUCACCUGCAAAAUUUGUUAGAAUAAUGAUAGUCCUUGGAACAAGGUUUUAAAGAUCAAUGCUGAAUUCUGUACUGUUUGUCUCCUCAAAACAAUACAGUAUCGGAACUACAUAUCGAAACUGAAAGAUUCUAAAUAAUUGAAAAACUUUUAGUACCGACCAGUACACUGGUAUGGUACUGCUAGCGUGCACCGAUAUGGACCUACAUAGACAGGUAUGGCUCCAUACUAAUACAGCUAUUUCAACAUACUGGCUCCUACACUAGUGCUAGUUUCAAGCUAGAACAGUAUAUUAUCUGCCAUACUGUCCCUUGUCGGCAAUUUUUUAAACCAUGCCUUGGAAGAUGCUAUUGAAUUGUAGUGUUUGUCAUAAAACCAAGAGUAAUAUGACUUGUGCUGUUGUGCAUCUAUUUAGAAAAUAGUAAUAUGAGGUUAACUAAUUUAGCUCAUAUUGUAGAUUCAGCACAGACUACAUAGUCCAUGAUGUAUUGCUUCACAUUUGCCUUAAGUGUCUGAGAAAUAAUGCAUUUACCUCAUAUUGUAGAAUUGCCACAAACUACAUAGUCCAUGAUGUAUUGCUUCAUAUUGCCUUCAUAUUUUCCAUGAUGAUGAGAAAUAAGGCAAGGAGGUACAAUCCUGGUAACAUGCCAUACCACCAUAGCUCUAUUUUUAGGCUUAGAAGCAACAAAAAAUGAACUAAUCCUUGCCGCCCCUCUUAUUUCGGUUUUUUUUUCCAAAAGAUUUUAUACUGCAAAAGCAACUUUUUUCAUAGCAGUGUUCUUUACUCUGCAUCAGAACAAUGACACUUGUUAUCUCAAUAGAAGUGUUGAUAGCUUGGUGUCAACGACUAACAGCUCCGUGUUCCAUUCCCAGUAAAUGCAUGCUCUCUUCAAGCAAUGAUUGCAAAAUCCAAGAGGCCUUAGAAGUUGUUCCGUUAUGUAAGUGUUGAUCUAACAAUCUUGUGUAUUUAAAAGCUAUCUCAAGUUCAUUCUGCUGAAAAUGGCAAGAAAGAAUGCUCUUCCACUCUGCUGACUUUCCUUCUGCACAAAUUCCAUGGAGAAGGAAAAGAAAUGUGAUGGAAUUGGGCAAACAGCCUUUUGCAACCAUCUUGCCUCUCAACUCCAAUGCCUUUGUGACCAUUUGAUGUUUGCAAAGACAGAAAAUUAUAGCAUUAUAUGCUGCACUCCUGCGAUCCCAUCCAUCAGAUAUCAUAUUCACAAAGAUGUCUAAGAAUGCAAUCUUGCUGUUGCCUUGAAGAUCAGUAGCACAAGUGGAAUCAAGAUAUGGAGUACUAUUAAUAAGACCAUUAAUUAAAUAAUGGAAUGUAACAUCAUUAGGAGGGCAUUUAUUAGAUAACAUUUCUUCAAAGAAUGCAACAGCUCUGGUGAUUUGUUUAUUUUUACAAAAGCUGCCAAUCAGAAUACUAUACGUGACAACAUUAGGAAUAAGACCAUGAGACUGCAUAUUAUUAAAGAGAAUUUCUGCAGUAUCAAUAUCCCCUUUUCGACAAUACCCAUUGAUUAAAGCAGAAUAUGUGACUACAUUUGGUUUGCAUCUCCGCUUCAUCAUGUCACCAAAUACCCUUAAAGCCCCAUCCAAAUCACUUUGUUUCGCGUAGCCAUCUAUAACUGUGGUAUAUGUGAAUUCAUCUGGGCAAUAUCCAUCCCUCCUCAUGCUAUUGAUGCAUAAAAUUGCAUCAUUCAUCAUUCCAAAUUUACAAUACCCUUUGAUCAUAGCAUUGUAGCCGACAACCCCAUGUCUAAUGCCCUUCUGUCCCAUGAACUCAAACACCUUCUUUGCCUCGCUCAAAUCCUCAUUUCUGAUGAACCCAUCAAUCAAUGUAGCAUAAACAAACUCAUCUGGGAGGAUAUUUUGAUCAAGCAUCUCAGCAAGCAGCUUUUUGGCAGAGGCAAGCAUCCCUUUCUUGCAAAGUCCACUUAUUAGAAUAUUGUGAAUUCCAGCAUCUAGAGUUACUCCCUUCUCUAUCAUCUUCUCUCGAAUUGCCAAUGCAUCAUUUAUCUCCUGCAUGAGAACAAGUCCAUGAAUUAGAGCUGCAUAAAUUACCAGGUCAGGCUUAUGUCCUUUCUCCAUCAUCUCAAUGAACAAAUUCGAUGCCAUAGCAACCUCCCCAUUUUGGCAAUACCCAUGAAUGAUAGGAGUAUAACUAAAUUUAUUCAGAUCCAACCUCCUCUUAAUGGCCUCCCUCAGAAGAAGCUCAGCCUCUCCAACAUUUCCACCCUGACAAAGCCCAGAAAUUAAAAUAUUAUAUGUUACAAUAUCCGGUUCACACCCACUUCCAAUCAUCUGCCUCAGAACUGCUUUUGCCUUAACAACUGAGCCAUGCUUACACCAAGCAUCAAUCACAUUAUUGUAAAUUUGCACAUUCGGCCACAAUCCCCGUGCUUUCAUCUCCGAAAAAAAUUUAUUUAUCUCGACAAAGUUCCCCUUCUUGCAGAACCCAUUAAUAACAAUACCAUAAGAUACCAAUGUCGGCAGGAAUCCCUUCAAUUUCAUCUCCCUAAAAAGCUCUAAGCCCCUCUUCAUGUCACCAUUCCUGCAAUACCCAUCAAGAAGAGUGUUAUAGAAGACGACAUUCGGGGUACACCCGGCUCCCCAUCUAUGUUCAAUCAAGUUCUUGGCCUCGUCCAUCCUCCCUUCAAUACACAAACCCCUGACCAUUAUACCCGUGCUGUAGUUAUCCGCCCCACCAUCUCGCUUAAGCAUUUCAUCAUACACCUGACGGGCCAGAUCACAAUGGCGCCGCUCUACAAGCAACUUGAGCAAACAAUUGCAGUCAGACACAUCAGGAAAAGAACCAAGCUGAUCUCUCAUAGUUCUGUAGACAUCCAAAGCCUCCUCUUCAAGUCCAGAAUCAGAAUAUGCGGCGACGAGAGCGCCCAAGGCCUCCCGAGUCGGGGUUCGUUCCUCGCUCCUCAUGGUCUGAAGCACGAGCUCAAUCUCCGGAAACCGGCGGGCUUUGGCCAGGAUCCGGAGGAGCGUCGAAUAGGAUAGGGAGUCCGGCGGGUCGGCCCACGGCGGGCGGCGUCGGCGGGCCCAGUCGAAGAAGGCGAGGGCGGAGUCGGGGUCGGGGAGGCGCGCGAGGACGGGAGCAAUCGCUUCCUCUUCUUCUUCCUCGAGGGAGAAGGCAUCGUCGAGGGCUCGCUCCCAGUGGGGAUUGGUCUCGCGGGUGCGAAGGAUUUGGGCGAUCGAGUCGGCGACGCGGCGGAGGCGGGAGCUGAGGAAGGAUUUGAAGGGGUUUUGGCGGGGCUUUUUGAUGGGAGGGAGAAGAAAGAGUUUGGACAUAUGAAACAAGUUUGGGCACGGAGGACUGAAUGAGCGAGAGGAGCAGCAGCAGCUGCCGCUUGUGUAUAUUAACCACCUCCGAGAAUCUCAUAUUUGUUAUGAGCCAUCAAGUAAUUUAUUCAAGUUAUUGCUUGUUUUAUUUUUUUCUCAUCGUUGAAGGUGAUUUGGAUUAAGUAGAUGAUUUCUCUGAUUCUUUCACGCAUCUCAAUGAAGAAAAUUUAAAAUCUACUAACAAAAAAUGAGAAAGCAUGAUAGAAUGAGCCAAAUCAAAGAUAAGAACUAGAUUAUAAAAAAAAAAAAGUAAAUGCGCCAACUUCAUUCUGAUUUGAAUUAAUAUAUCUUGAGUAUUCAUCUUAGUCCUUAUAUGAAUUUAUAAGAUAUUCAAAAGGAAACUUCUAUCUCUUGUUCUCGUGAUUACUUGUAUUCUUUUUCAUAUGAAAACUUAUCUAAAUAACUUUUCUAAGAUAAUUAGUUCCACGAAAAAAAUCUAAAAUAAGUAUUUGCAUAUGAUGGAGGAGUGCACUUCUAUUAGGUGUAAAUAUAGAAAUUAGAAAUUUUUAUUUUUUAUGUGGCUUCAAGAAUUAGAAUUUUAUGAGAAUUUUAAUAUUUUAUUUUAUACAGAAUCUUACUAAAAUUUUGGAUUAUCUUUAUAAAUUCAUUAUUAUAUAAUUGAGAAUACAAUUUAUACUGUUGAGUUUCAAUAAUAUGAAAUAUUAAAAUGUUCUUUCCCUCUAACUUCUUUUCCUCUUCUCUUCUCUUCCCUCCUCUCCUUCUUUUUCUGUCCUGCAUUAAUAUGGGUGAAAAGUGGAUAGCCAUCACCCUAUAUAUAUAUAUAUAUAUAUAUAUAUAUAUAUAUAUAUAUAUAUAUAUAUAGUAGUAGUAGUAGUNNNNNNNNNNNNNNNNNNNNUACUACUAUAUAUAUAUAUAUAUAUAUAUAUAUAUAUAUAUAUAUAUAUAUGUCAAUUAGGAGAGGAUAUUUAUUGUCUAGUGAAGAAAGCCUAACAUGCAUAGAGAGGUCAUUAUAUAUUUAUAUGUGUACACAUACAUGCAUACAUACAUACAUACACACACACAUACAUAUAUAUACUAUAUAUAUAUAUAUAUGUGUGUGUGUAUGUACAUAUGUAUGUAUGUAUGUAUUCAUGUAUAUACAUAUAAUGUGUGUGUGUGUGUGUUUAAAAAAAAAAGCAUGGAAAAUCUGAUCCCUAUCCCAUACCACGCAAGAGGGAGAGAACAAAGUUGCAUUGAAAGCUCUGGAUACUUAUUUUAAGCUCUACUAUUAAAUAAAAUUAUGAUAUACGAAAGAGGCUUUGAGUGACACACCUCUCCCAUGCAUUGAAGAUCUGAUGUGGCUCAGCUCAAAAGGACUUAUCCAUACACCUCUGAAAUACAACAUACGUAACCAGCACUUGUCUCUAAUUAGUACACCAUAUUGCAACUUUUUCUAAGAGAGAAACAAAAGAAUGAACACCGACAAAAAAAUAAUGUAUGUAACAUCCAUGUCCUUACCUAAAAAGACUAACCAAAAAAUAUUACUAUUGCAGGUAAUAUUACAGGUGGUGAAGACAAUAGCACUCCGAGCCAGAAUAGCCAUUCCCAAAUGAAAGGAGACAAACAUUGUGGAAAUUCCAAUCACCAGAAUAGUAAAGGAAAAAAUCGCACAUAAAUGUAGCUAUUCUCAGAUCAAAGAAAUACAGAUCUUGGUCAUAUAACUCUUGUUGAAAUGAGAUUGAGCAACAUAACAUUGUCAAAUAUAUUACUAUAUGUGAUGCCGUAUUUCUUCCUUGGGGGAAUGGCUUCAUAUAUUUCUUGAAGAUUAUUUAUGUCUCCCCAUGUGUUCUGUAUGCCCCCAUUGAUUGAUCCUGUUGGGGCAGCAAGCUUGCACAGUUCUCUCAGGACACCACCAUGAUGCACUACAAACCACUCUUGCUCCUGCCAAGCAAAUAAAACAAAUCGAAAAGGAUGCCCAAUAUCUCAUUAUUUUCGCGGAAUGCGACAUUGCAUGCAACAAAAUAUUGCUCUAAGAAAUCAACUCCUGAUAUGAAGUUGUUCUAAACAUCAGCAUGGCAGAAAAGCUGAGUAUGAGCAGACAAAAUUUCUGGGUGUAAUUGGAAAUGCAAUUACAGCAACAGAUUGACAGGAUUUGCAGAGGCAGGCAUAAGAAAAGCAAACUGCAAAUUGAUUACCAAUCAAUUACUCAACAGGAAUUCAUGGAAACACCACAUAAGCUGAAGAACUUAACAAGCAUCUAUGAAGGAUACCACAGUUGAGCUUAUGCUUGAUGUUGCUUUUCUGCGAAAGGCUUUAAAAAUCACUUACCAAGGCCAAGCAAUUGUAAGUGGGACAGCAUCAAUCAGACUUGCGCAACAAUUAGCUAGCCUGGAUUGGUCAGGUCAAGUCCAACUAGAGGUGGGUUUAUAUUGGGUUUAAAUUCAAUGAGUAAAACCAGACUUUCGAGCAGUUUUAGUCUCGUCAAUUUCGACUUCGAGGGAUUUUGGUUUGCUUUUAGGAUAAUCUGGGGUCCAAAUCUCGUGCUUUAGGCACGGUAAUUUUGAUUCCAAGUCAAGUAGCGAUCAAAACAAUCUCCUUUCUACUCUUGUGAAAUUGAGCUCAAAUAUCCAAGCUAGUCAUUUUCUAUAUCCAAGCAAUAAUAAGCAUAAAUGCUUCAAGUAUCUAUGCAUCAAAGCCAGAAUUACAGCUUCUUCGACAUGCCAGUCCCUAAGUAUUUGCUAUUCCGAAGGCACAUUUUUGUGUCUUCACUCAUAUUAUUUUAUUUACACACACACACACACACAGAGAGAGAGAGAGAGAGGUGCAGUUUAAUUAAUUGAAACUAAAUAAUUAGGACAAGGUUUAGUGGUUAUGGUCAUUGUCUAUCGUCUGGUCUCUUUUUUCCUCUCUCUUUUCCUUUUUUUCUGAAAACAAAAGAAGAUGGGGAGCCCUUAUUGCAAUUCUAGGCCUAAGCACUAAUACGGUCUAAUGUAAAUAGAUUUGCUCUAAGUAUUUCCAUUUUGAGUUUAUUAGCACUGUCGUCUAAAUAUACACUUCGACACCUUCCGAUCAUUUCCACAAAUUUAUCUGACAUUUUUAUGAAAGAAAGUUUAUUUUGACAUUUUUUUGGCUGACCAUUUCAUCUUUCUUAUAACUUUUUUUAAGGAAAUAUCCAUAUGACUUUAUAAUCCAUAAUUUUCACUCACUGCUAAUAUAUCUUUCUCUCCAUCUGUUAUCCAUAUUGGCAACUAUGAUCAGUAAUGUGGAAGACCCAGCGGUGCAACAAAUAUAAUCUAAGCAAGACAUAAGCAGAGAGUGUCAUCAUAACUUGAAGUGUUUCUCAUUUACACCACCAAGCAGUGGAAAGUUUAACCUUAGUACAUGACCAUGGCCAAAGAUUUCAAAAAGAAGGAAGCAGUGGGACAGCAAGGAGGGCAAACCCUUUAAAGAGAGGGGAAAGCAUCACAUGGUUUUGGGGCCACUGCAGAGUCGCAUCUUCGAUCUGAUAGCAGUUUUCCAGUGAGCUUCAUCACUACGCAAGCUUGCUCCCUCUUAUCAGGUGGUGGCCCCAUAUUAAGAGCCACUCAUGAAACAAAAUCUUGUUAAGUCUUUCUCAUCUGGAGCCUUCUUCAUGUGAUGUUCCCAAUUUAAAGAACCCACGCCAGGCAAAGUAGAACGGGAAGGAGAAACAAACCUAUCACUGCAAGUGCUCAGCCAUAGAUGAGAUAUCUUUGUCCGCUACAUUCUUUUUGCUCAAGAAAAGUCCAUUUUAAUGAUUUUUAAGCCUAAUGAAUCUGACGCAUGAGAAUGUUAAGAAGAAAAUGGAAGUGAAAGCAGGUAAAACCAUGUCAAUUCAGAUGCAUCUUGUAGUAUGAGAGAAGCCUUAGUGCAUGAACUAACAAUUACAAAUCCAGUCAAAUACCUAGCAUGUAAAUCAGAUGAACUGGUGAUUGAUAGCAAACAGAACUAAAAGAGAGACCCGUCAAUAAGAUGUGUCCCUCAAAUGUGAAUGCAAGGCAAAGUGAUCUGAGACAAUGAGUCAUGCCCACUCAAAGGUUUAUGCUUAACAGCUCACUUUCUUGCUCCAUUGUCGUCUGACAGAGAACUUACGAAACAAUGUUUAACUUUGUGUUCCCUCGUUGUCCACUAGAACAAUUCGACAACAAUACCUAAAGAGAUUUUUGGGCAGCAAUUAAUCUUUAAGUGCUAGCUACUUGCAUUAUUGACAGGCAGCACGAAUGAUGACAUUAGAUGAUCGCUACUAUUUAUGUUUCAAUUAAUUAACAGGCUUAAUCACAAUCUACCAUAACGAUCGAGCUAGUCUCUGUCGCAUCAAUUUGGCUUGUCCUGAUGGAUCAUUUUCUAUCAUGUCGCCAGAUCACAUUAGGAUUCAAUUCAGAUUGUGGCAUCCUUACUUUACAGUGAUUUUUGACUUGGCAUCUAUGUAUCUAGCUUAUCCAGUUUUGGAAUAUGGCACAUACCAACUCCAUAGUGAACAAUAGUAUGAUCAAAGCACAUUAAACAAUUUCGGCGAGAAACACUAAUUGCCAGAGGCUAAGUUAAUAAUGGUGCAUCCUCUUUGACAUCUUCUCUCGACGAAUUACUUGCCAUAUAUAAGCACCAGGGUAUUGCUUCCUGAACACAGCAUCUCUGCAUGAUUCACACAAAAUUUUUCCAUGAUUUGCACUUGAGUUUUGAGACCUCUUGAAGAGUCUAUAAAAUGUCACAAGUUUCUGGAGUUGUCCUGCUACAGUCAGCUGUUUUGCUCUGCUCAAAGGGGCUCUUAGCACCUCAAGGGAACCAGUUCAGGUAGCAAUCUUUUGCAAUCUUAAUAGAUGGUCUUCUAGCAGAUGGGAGAGCAUUCUUAAGAUGCAUAAUUCUUAGAACCAAGGUUUAAAUAGCAGCUGCCAUAAUGUUCCAACAGCCAUUUUAAUGAUUGUGGACCUCCUCAGAGACUUGAUGCAAUGUCAAUUUAAUUAGAAGUACUUCCUGGCCAGCUGAUAUGGCAUUUCCACUCAAAGAAGUUUUAUUGACCAAGUAGUCAUUCUGAAGAGUUCCAUACAUCUCUUCUUCACCGAAAGGUUAAUGCAGUUGCUGAUUGGGUUGCGAGAUGGGGUAGAAAUAAUGAACAGUUGAGGCUACGGAAGAGUUUUUAAUAUUAUAACAGCUAAUAUAAUUAUUAUUUUAAUAUUAAUCUAAAAGUGCAAUUUUGAGGAGAAUAGCAGUCAUUAUAGUCAUUGCAAUGGUCAUUAAUGGCUUCGGUGGCGUUCAUUGUAGCACAACAACACUGCAAUACAUGGAGGACUGUGGAUCAUAACAACUCUCCUAUCCACCAUUAAAGCAAUCUCUCAUGAUGGCAAAAGGUUGGGAGCUAAAAUUUAACUUUCAUGUGAUUCCAAACCUAGAUAAGAUCCAUCAGCAGUAAUGGAAAUUAAGUUCAAGUUCAUAUUUUUCUUGCUCCACUUUCUUCUAAAGAUGAACUGUUGCAGCAUCAGCACAACAGUGAACAUGGAUUGCUGUGCUUUAUCUGAAUCACAAGAGGAGAAUGACUUGGGACAAAAGCUACUUAACGCCAUGAAAUGGAAAUAGAUUUUUGAGAAAAGAUGGCCUCAAUUAUUAGUUUGGUGGAUGGAUGGAAGGCCAGGCACGAAGCCCAUUAUGGCAACACCCAUGUAAUGAUCAGAGAGGCACAUGCCAAACUAGCAAAGCGCGAAGGGUCCCUUUUCCUCUUCCCUCUGUUUUCCGAAGUGGUCCGGCCUCCCACGCCUUAUCCUAUUCUCCCAAUAUUUCCAUCACUAACCUUGGUUGGAUCAAACCCAACCAGGGAAGUGCCCCUCCCACACUCUGAAAAGAGGAAAAAGAUUCCCAAGGCAACCACCUUCCGACCUCCUCCUCUCCCUCCCACCCAAUAUAACUUGGGACCGAAGGCCCUCUCUUGCUUCGAGAAAACACUUGAAUCAAAUUAACUCCCCACCUUUCCCUCUGUCAGCUUCCCAACCACCACCUUCCAAGCCAAAGUCUUGAGACCAUACUCUCCACCAAUGCCACCAGUAAUGGAGACGCCGGGGUUGGUGUCGUUGCUCCGGCACACCACCGAAGACCGUCGGACCAAGAUGGGCGGAGGGGGUAUCUUUCGGAUGUUCAAGCUGCUUCCCAUGCUUACCUCUGGUUGCAAGAUGGUUGCGCUCUUAGGCAGGCCAAGCAAAGGAUUGCUCUCCGACAAGGCUACCACCAUUACGUUAUUUGGAUAUAGGAGAGGAAGGGUGAGCUUAGCCAUUCAAGAAGACCCCAGGUCUCCACCCAUCUUUCUUAUAGAGCUCCCCAUGCUCACGAGCUCUCUCCACAAAGAAAUGGCAUCCGGAUUGGUGAAGAUUGCGCUCGAGAGCGAGACGAGGACCCACAAGAAGAAGCUCACGGAGGAAUACGUCUGGGCUGUUUACUGCAAUGGCCGGAAGUCGGGAUACUCGAUAAGGAGGAAGCAUACCUCCGACGACGAGCGACAUGUCAUGCAGCUUCUCAGGGGCGUCUCCAUGGGUGCAGGGGUCUUGCCAUGCGAGAAGGAGACGGCAGAGGGGGAGCUGACCUACAUGAGAGCCCGAUUCGAGAGGGUGGUGGGAUCGAAGGACUCCGAGGCGAUGUAUAUGAUCAACCCCGACGGCACCGGCGGGCCGGAGUUGAGCAUCUUCCUUGUGAGGAUCAAGUGAAAUUACUAUUGCUUUCUUUGCUUCUUGUCUGUACAUAGGUCUCUUGGUCUUUGUAGAGAAAAUUCUCUUCCAGUCCCUCUCUUCCAUUUUUUACCUGCUUUCUGCAACCUUUUAACUUUAUACAGACUCUGGAUAACUUGCCGGUUAUGAUGGAUACCACAAUGGUGGUGGGAACUGCGGAGAGCAGCUGAAGACAGCCUAGUAGUACUUCCCAUUUUGAAUAAUAUUUAACAUUGAUUGGAUGAUGAUUUAACCUAAAAAAAACAAUUUGUGAUCAAACUUAUGGGAUUUUGAAGAACUUAGGCAUGGUAAGGGUCCUGAUAAUUAUAUCCAUGAAUCCAUGAUCUGAUGGCACUUCUAGUCCUCAAUGAGUGUUAGAAGUUGUGUUUGUGAUGCCUGUGCAAAAGUACCUCCUUGCACUGAAUAUUUUUAUUUUUUUACUUUCUUCAGAAUUAAUGAUUUCCUUGAAGCUUGGUCUUGUGAUACCUUGUCAUGAAUUCUCUAGGAGAACAACUGCAAAAUUAAUGAUUUCCUUGAAGCUGGUCCCUCACUGUAUCUUUCAAGUUAGGUAAAACCUUAUCAUGUUUGGCUACUUAUAUAUACUACCACUUGAGUUACCUAUACGGAUCUCAUUUUGCUAUUAUUAGUUUAACAAUCUUUUAUAAAGUUCUUGAUGAAGUUUGGGGGAGCUAUGCAUGCACCUCCUUAAUUUUUUUUGGAAAGAAAAAAAAAAACACUUAUAUAAAGAGUUUGUAGCAUGUAUGUUACAUUAGAUACACACAAAUUGUUUAAGAGAUGCAAUUUGAAUGAUUCUCAGUAUAAGAUGUUUAAGAUAUUCCAAGAUAAAGUGCAUGUCGCAAAAUGAGAGCAGCUCCAUUCAGUGCAUUGGACAUCUAAAGGACAUAGCAGGAGGUCGGCUUUAUGAUGGUAGGGAAGAACCGGAUGACCUUGUCAAAAGCGUGGGGGAACAAAACAGCAAACAUCUGAUUGCUUCCACCGACUCUAUGGCACACGUUAGCCGGUUUUCGUGUAUUUUAAAUGGUCCCCUCUAUAAUGUACAAGAGUUUGUACGCAAGAAGCAGCACGGGAUCACCCAUGCCUUCAAUGCUUUUUGGGCCGAGUAGUGGCCCAGGGGGGCCCACCUUAAGCUGAUGGGCAUGUGGAGGCUCCACGUCAAGGGAGGCUCUCGUCGGGCUGAUGAAAGCGUAUCAACAAACUCCAAAGAAGAAUGGGCCUUGGAUUUCCCUCACAAUAGAUACGGAAAAGAAGUCUAUCCAUCAAUCAGCAUCAAGUAGGCUAGAUCCAGCUCACAUUAGCAUGGUACGUUAGAAAAGUAUGAACUUAGGUAGGGGUCUACCAUCAAGUGGGCCUGGCCUUGAGGCCCCGUCUCUUUUUGGAGGGACCAUCCUGCAAAGAAAAUGGGCCAUCAUGCCCUAUGUAUUAUGCUUGUAAAAGCUGAUUUAAAAGAAAGUACCCGGCAUGGGAAUUGUAUUGCCUGCCAUUUGGUCCUGACUGCACCUAGGGUUUUCAUCCUAAAGAAAAGCAUAAUUAUACCAUUCCAUGAUGAUGCUUCCAUUGUUGCAUGCCUUUAGGAAUAGUAUAAUACGGGCUUAAUUUUACAUCCAUGGACCUUGCACGUGCAAUCACAUUAUUUAUUCAUUUUAAUGCUGGCCCGCCACCAGCUAAGGACCAUUGGCUAGCAUCGUGUUCCUAUUAUCUUCGUUCUUGAAGUGGAAGGUGUGGGGUUCCUCCGCCAUCGGAAAAGAUUCAACAUCGUAGUCCAACUUUUUCUUGAAUCGCAACUCCCAGGCAAUCCACUCCGCUGGUACUUUCCGGCCAAGGCUUCGCACAAUCACCAUCGUUGAGCUCCAUGUUUUUCUAGAUGUCUUAACACAUUCCAAUAGCAAAUCGAGGGCCUCCAUGAAGUGUCAUUGGAGGUGCUCAGCUCCUCCGAUAUCUUGUAGUUGGUCCACACUGGCUUGCCAGGAGGGUGCCUAGCCCACCACCAACCACAAGGAGUUGGUCUCAACUCUCCUCGGGAGCAGCCAACCCCCACAACCAGUCGGCCCCUUGGCCAACCUCUAUCGUUGUUCCUCAUUUUUAGAAACCUCUUUCGUUACUCUCGUGCUCCGAUCACCCAUUGCCUUCGAUCACCAAGCGUUCGAGAAAAAAAGCGCCAGACAUCACAUGAAGAUUAAAGCAAGUCGCGAUCCAGUCGCAUAAAUUGUGGCAUUCUAACCUUACCUAGUUGCUAUUUAAGAGAUAUCUCGUGAGCUUCGGAAUCAUGUCCAAUCUCAAAGUUCUACGUCAACAUAGAGAGAGAUGAAGUGGUCUCACUUGCUAAACUACUACACCGCAAACUUAGUCCUUCUAUGUACUUGGGACUACCUUAGCGAUCACAAACUUACAAGGAGGGACCAUCUCAUCCCCUCGUGGCGGCAUAGAGUGCUAGCAUGCACCUUGGAAGAGGAACUUUCUUUCAAAGGGUGUCUCACUAUUCUUAGGGGGUUGAGAGGAGGUGGACCCUAGAAUGGAAAUAAGAAUGAAUAACUCCUAUUCCAACUGUUUGGUUGGAGGAAGUCCCAUUCCAAUUUCGAUUCCAAAAAAAAAAAGAAAUGCCCCAAACCCAACCCUACUUUUCCCUAGUACUCAAAUUUCAUUCCGAUUCUAGUCACAAACCAAACAUGUAGGAGGAUAUGGCUAUUCCUAUUUCCAUUCUAAUCCAAUCCGAUUCCAAUUCUAAUUUUGAUUUCAAUUUCAGUCGGGAACGAAAUGUGCCCUUAAUGUUGUCAUCUCCGCAUUGCCUUGAAAUUACAUGGCAAUCUACAAGUUGUGCCUAGAUGGAUUAGCUGGCAAGGCAAGGAUAAAGCUAGCGAGUUUAAUUGCCUUGUCAACUAGGAUGUUAUGCGUACAAAUCCGCUGGACCUCAUUGAGUGUCUCCUCUCUGAGUAUGGAAGUAGUUCUUGAAGGAGAUGGUAGUUGGAGAAGGGUUACAAAGGCUAAUGUUUUUGAGACUCGGGCGGGUCAAUUAAGUGAAUCCAGUCCUAUUGCCCCCCAGCAAUAACGAAUGGGGUUAUAUUUCGUGAUUUAUGAAAACUUGCUUGACUUGUUGACCUGAACAGUUCACCCGACAAGCCGCCAUGGACAACAACUCGAUCAACCUAAAUUGAGCCAAUGAACAAGAAGAUUUCCCUGAUAGGGGUAGCCCCAUACCUUUAUCCUCCUCAGUAGGCCAAGAAAAACGAGGGAUAGAAUUCUGAGGAGACGCUGCAUCAGAUGGUGAUCCUAUGGCCAGACUUUACUGAUCGGACAAUGGAAAAGAAAAACAAUGCUCGAUGAAAUGCCGGAGCCAUACCCUCUUCCUGGACCAAAGGUAGCGAAUCAAUUUGGGUAAUGGGUUGAAAGUCUAUCCAUAGCUGGUGCGUAAUGCAGUAAGAAUGGUCGUUGAGGCAAUGGGUUAUGAAAGAGGUCAAGCCAAAGCAUAAUAAGGUAAUGGCAAAUGGGCUAGAUGAGGCAUGAGGUCAUAUUUGGUACUAAUUAUUGGUUGGAUAAGAUCCACUGCUGAGCUCAUGAAUCAAUUCGAUCCACUGCUGAGCUCAUGAUUCAAUUCGAUCGUGAAACAAUAUAUAUAAAUUUGCAUGAGGGGGGAUGGAGGCGAUACACGUAGAGGAUGGUUGCGGAGGGAUCGAAGACGAGAAGGGAUAAGUUGGACAUUGAUGCAAGAUGCAGGGGUUAGAGAUUCGACGGGCGAUCACGGUCGGACUGGUAACCACCAAACUUCCAGCGGUUGCUUAUAAUUGUUACAUACUUAAAAAAAAAUGUUACAUAACAAUGGUACCCUCUACUUGCUGCAAAAAAAAUAGUACUUUAUAAUGACUAUUUUAAAAGCUGCCAUGAAAGUAUAUAAAUAUUAUGGCGGUUGUUCAUGAAUUAUACUGAAAGUUUUCGUUGCGGAUGGUAACCCUGUAACCAUUAGAGUAAAUGAUAGCUAAUACUGUUGGUUUAAAGAACUGUCACAACUCACAAGUAUAUAAUAUUGCUGCUGCUACUUGUAUAUGUUGUUAGAAGUUUAUGCAUGGCAAUGGUUCUUUAUAGCCGCAACAGAAGAUGGACUUUGUAACAAUGAGUUCUAAAACUGUUGCAGAUGGUAUACAAUAUUUAUGGAGGUCAAGAUAAUGGCUAGAAAUAGAACUAACACAUUAUUCAAAAGUGCUACUUACACCAAACUUAUGACUGGAGAACCAACUAAAGUUAUCCAUAUAUUAUAUAAUUAAUGUCUAACUUUAAUAUUUUAUCUAUGUGUGCGUUGUGCGUGUAUGACUGCAUCUACUGCCUUUCAGUUUUAAAAAAGACUGCAGUUACUGCCAUCUUGUAAGUUCCAAACCCCAUUUCCAGUCACAAGCAUAUAUAAAAACUUGAACAGCAUCAAAAGGGUUGAUAUGCAAGGGACAGGAUUGGAACUCAGAAAAUUAUCUGAUAGAUAUUACGUGCUGGGAAAACGGUGAACUGCCCUGGAAGCACCUCAUUUAGAACUGCAAAAAUGGGCAACAACAAAUCAAUCAAGAGAGACAUGACUGCGAAGGCACAAGAUCGGAGUAACCAAGAAAAGCAGUUGAGAACCAUAAAUAUGCCAUACAAAAUUACAAAAGCUUAAGCUUUGUGGAAGCAUUAAACUCAGCUAGGUGAGAAUUAUAAAAUCUACCAGUAAUAUAAAGGAUUAGGAAAAAAGGUGAGAUAGAUAAGUCAAAGGAAUGAGUAAAAUGUCAAGAAUAAACCAUCCAAUUCAUAAAAAGUAUGAGAGUUUAUGUGGAGAGCCAAAUGGAAUAUUUGUAGUAGUCUAAACAUCCCUCAUCUAAACAGCCUAUUACUACAAUAUCCUGAUGCAACACCAACUAUUUUUGAGAAAAAAUGGCUUAAACUUCUUUAUCCUUUUCUGUAUACAUCCAUCUCAAGGGAUCUGGACUUUUUUUUUUCUUCAGUCCCAAUUAUAUACCUGCAGUAAACACCAAAAAAAAGGUAUGAUCUUCUAGUUGUAUCAAAUAAUGCAAAGCAACUUUAGCGAAUGAAACAAUAAAUACCGGAACCUUUCUAUGUUAAAUGAGAACCUGAUAUAUCUACACACUUGUCAAAAGAUUUCCACUAAAUUUUUUAGACCUGAAUUUUUUUCAGCAACGUCUCCCCUGCAAAGAAGAAAACACCCAAAGACACGAAGUCUGCUACUGCAAAUACUUGUACACCUAAGAAUAUUAAGAAGCUUUUUUCUGAACUUAAGGAAUCAAGAUAUCACAACCUCAUUAUUUGCAUCUGAUUUUACUGAGACUUGGAACAUUCUGGAAUAAGCCUUUCGUUCUUGAUCCCGUCUAUCAGCAAUCUGGAACAGUUUUAAAUAUUCAUAUAUAUCUAGAAUUAUCAGCACACUGGAAUGAAGUGCACUUGAUAAUAUUAUUCUCACCUUCUUCUUUGCAGCAGCAAGCUCUUUCUUUAUGCCUCCUAAUAAAUACCGCAAAUCAAAUCAACAGCUUAUCAAUUGCAUAUAUCCAACUGAAAGUAAACAAAUUAAAGAAAAGCCCAAACCAUCAUUUGGCUCUAACUCUAGUGCCUUCUUGAAACUUUCCACUGCAGCAUCCACAUCAUUAAGUGACAUGUGUGCCUGAUCAAUUUACAAAGGAAUAACUUACGCCAUCCAUGACUUGCAAACAAACAAAAACAGCAGCAGAAACAAAAUAAUAAUGAAAAAAAAAGCAUCCAGAAAAUCAUGAGAAACAUGAUAACCAUCCACAACCAAGUGCAGUAGUCUGUUGAGUGAAGUCUCUUAAAUUUAACUACAUGUACAUGAAAAACAAGAUAUCAUGGCAGUCUGCAAUCUGUCAUUGUCAGAUGCAUGAAUGUGCUGCAUCAUAUACGAACCAUAUCCCAACAACAGCAGAGAUCUGGUGUGAAUCAGGAUCCAAAACAAGAAAAAAAAACAAAAUGUAUCGAGUUGCAUUGGGACUUAUCAGGUUCAUGUCCAGGUCAAAUUUUGGUGUGAGCCAAUCCCUGAUUCUCUCACAAAUAUCGGACCAUGUUUUCAUUGCAAAAACAAGGUGUUGACUUACAGGCGGAGUGCUGCUAUUGACAAAAAUAUUUAUUUCUAGCAAGGUCUGCCGAACCAGUUCCGAGGCCCAUACCGAUCAGCGAACGGGUCGGUAUAGUAGCUGUUCAGUACUAUACCAACACACGGUACGCUUGGGGGUGCCAGUUCCGAACUGGCAUGCCCAUUUCUUUUUCUGAGUUUUUUAAAUUCAAUUAAUUGAUAAUCAAUCUUUUCAACUUUUUUCAAUAAUUUUAAGUCUAAUUUGAUUUUUAUAUAUAUAUAUAUUUUGAUGUUUCUAUGAUCCCGGUUGAACCUAAAUGAUGCAUCUUAUUGUUUUUAAAUGAUAAAAAUAUAAAAUGAUUAGUGAGAUGUUGCACACUACAAGAAGCUACAUGAAAUAUCCUCAAAUCAAGUAAUGAAGGUAAAAAAUAUAAAAUAAUACAAUUAAUUACAUAUAUUUAAAGUAUAACAUACAUACUAAUAUCUAAAAUCUCGUUAAGUGGCGAAGCCUCUCGUAGAUAUCCGAAUUAUUAGCAUAGUCAGGAGGCAGAUCAGCUCACCCUUCUAACCAAGCGACGUUGUAGUCUUGUAUGUUCAUCUUAUAAGGAACACGCUUUAGAUUAUAAGCACUUUUGGAUCUUUUGCUGAAGUUGUAGCUCUGAGAGGUAUCCUCUAACCGAUAAAAUGGCUGUGAAAGGGCCCAUACGAAUAAGCCGACAACAAAAUCCGACCUAUAAGAUGCUUCGGAUUGCGUCGGAUAGUAGCUACCAAAAGAUAUUUUAGACACACCAUAUUCCUAUCCAUAUUCGUAUGGGUCAUAGGCUGCAUGUGACUGCAGAUAAUAGGAUCCAGUAUAUGGCCUAAAAUAUGAUACGUUUAUGGAUUCUACUCCACGUGUGAGGUCAUCUACAGUUGCAUCGUGUCUGCCUGAAUAAUCUCGAGGAGUCCAUCUUUUAUAUGCAAUCGUAUCCUCACGAGCUUUACCAAAUCGUGUAUCGUGGUCCGUAUCCUGUAUAGCAUGUGUAAACUGAAACUCAUCUGUGAAUCAAAGACCACCCUACAGCUGUAUCUCAUAAAUGAUGGUCUCAUAUCCUCCGCUCUCUGUUGGUUAAUAGAACCAUGACCAGCAGAACUGCUGCUUCUGAUCUCUGAAUCUGAGUGAAUUGGCUCCUCCACACUCUCCAUUAGGGUUGCAUGUGCCUUUUGUUUUCCUUUUUUGGUGUGUUGGCAACUGCCUACUUACCUUUCGUGCCACUCGCUGUCUGCUUAUCCUUCGUGUCACUCGCUGUCUGCUUACCCUUCGUGCCACUCGCUGCCUGCUUACCCUUCGUGCCACUCGCUGCCUGCUUACCCUUCGUGCCACUCGCUGCCUACUUACCCUUCGUACCCUUUCCUACUAGGCUAUGUUGGAAGGAUGUAUGUCGCCCUCCUAACCAAAUCGAUCGGGUAGUGUAGUGGCCUCGUCUAAGCAUCUCUCGAUCAUAUCUCUAAGAAAAUAUCUCGAACAAGGAGUCAUGGUGACCGGCUCUCCGUGGCUGUGGCUGAUCAGCUGAAAAGAUGUAUGGAAUAUUGCUCUCUAUCCAUUGCCCUGCAUCGGCCCUAGCGUCACUGGCUAUGAAACUGGCCGAUCGUGAAGGUGAUCAUCGCUCAUCAAGCUCCGAUUUUUGCUACUGACCCACAAACCAUCCGAUCAUAGGAUCAUCCUCAUCAUCAAUGAAAGCACUACGGAUCGAAUCUGUGUACUUUAGCUCUACUUUCUUCUGAAUGCACUUCAACCUCGACCUCAUAUUGUAGUGAACAUAUACAAGAUUUUGAGACACUUUUGUGUCAAAUAGUUCCUCUGUUUGUUGUGGAUGAUAGCAAAGGUGGACUAAUUAUGCUCACAGCCACUCGAGAAGACCAUCUGGAGAAGGAUCUGGAUAACUAGUCGCUUAAAAUUUUUUGCAGACAAACCAAAAUGAAUCCACUAUUUAACUGCAAAAAUAUUGAGAAAAAUUACGUAUAAGAUCGUAUCAUAUUAGUAACCAUCUAACGUCAAGUAAAUAUCCUCCUGAUGUGUACUACAUCUGGAUUUAUACUUUUCUUACUUACGACAGAUGUCGAGACUCCAAAGCUGUCGAUGUCCUCUCUAAAUAUUUUGGUCUGUAAAAAGAACCAUAUUAUAAUAUGUUAAUAAUUGGAAAUACCAAUUAACUUACACAUGUCACUUAAGUUAACUUAUCUCUUUUAGACAUAUAGCUGCGACUUUUGGAUCAGGCUCCAUCUUUUAAAUCACAUUACGCAGAGCGAAUAGAAGUUCAUCAUCGAUAUCGCUUUCAGUUAUGGUAUGCUGAAACUUUGGGUUCAGAUAGUAUAGUGCAGAUAAAGUUCGUUAUUGUCUUAGUAAAAUUAUACAAGUACAGAAGCAGUCUAAUUUUCGAUGUUCUUACUUAUCUACUAGAUGCAAGUCCCUAUCCAUCUAGUAGUCCCACCGCCACUUAAUAAUAUCAAUGUACUCCUAGACAUAAGUCAGAUGUACCUUCUUGAUCUAAAUCUUUGCCCUCUCCAUCAUAUGAUACAAGAAGCCCAUCUGGGAGUAUCUCUCGCUGUCCACGACCUAAAGCACUUCAUACAAUGGUAUGAUAGCCUUCACUAUCUUCUUGAUCCGCUGCCAGAAUGUCUACCUUAUCACCAAGUCCUCGACAAUACUUCCUCCAGUGCUGACCCUCGUAAAUGUAUUUUUCUGCUACUCAAGACUAACAAACAUCUGACGUAGGGCUGCUUUCCACUCAAGAAGGCUAUCAAGUGCAACCUAAGUGGUAGCAAAUCGUGUGACUUCUGAUAUCAAAAAUCUCUCCCCCUACAUAACUCUUUAUCAAUACAAGGACUCAUGUACUAUUAUAAAUAUAUCUGGUGAUGGUUUGAGCUAUCUCCAUUGUUCGUUACACCUUACAAAUCUAUGCAAUGACCAUCAACAUGAGAUCGAUACAAUGUGCAGCACAUAGAGUCCAGAAAAUCUGGUCACCACUCUAUCAAGAUUUUUCUGGAUGCCUUAUAUUAUGGUCCACUAUCAGUGAUGACCUGCACGACAUUCUCCUCUUCUACCUAAUCAAUCACCUCCAUCAAUAUGAGGAUGCACGUGGCGUCGUGCACCUGAUCGGAAGAAUUAACUGACUUGUGGAAGAAAAUCCUUGUAUCACAAUACGUCAAGAAGUUGAUAAUGCUCUGCCUGAUAGGACCAGCCCAACAAUCACCCAUCAUCGUCAGUUCAUAUGCAGGCCACUUACUCUUGUAUGAGGUAAUCCACUUCUUUAGCUCCUUAUUAUUGUCUAAAAGUUGACCGUAGAUGUCCUUCGGUCCUCGAGGAUCUACACCGAGACUGACAGCCUGUAUGAAAAAUAUGGCAACCUAUAGUAUGUAUUGUCUGCCACAUUCACUGGAAUGUAGCUGAAGUGAAACCAGAAUCCAAUAGCUCGCCACAUAUCCUUCUUAUCAUUUUUUAAUAUUGUGUCAACCCUCUGCUGCUUCGAAUCCCUACUGAAAAAGGCAUGUGGAUCUAAAUUAUGGAUGGUGGCUCCUGGUAGAAUCUUCCUGGAUGACUUCUUUUUGCUACUAAAAGCCUCUAGCAUAGAUGCAAUACGGCCACCGCCUCUACUGACGACCUUCCUAACCGAGGAGGUUGUUCUAAACUCUAGAUUUGCCCUGUUGCUCGUAGAACCAGAGCCCGACUCGUAGUAUGAGGGUCUAAAUUGUGCCCUAUGCCUGGCCACCUCAUCUUGUUACCACUGAUCAUCCAGGCUCGUCUGCAUAGCAGCCUGAACCUAUACCUCCUUAUCAUCUAGAGCAGACAUCUCCUCUGACUUCCUAAAGUGAUAGAAAAGUGGUUCUACAGCUCAAGAGUCCUCCUCCACCUUCUUUUUGGAACCCUCUCACUCGCUGCUCUGAAAUAAGUGAAGUGCUUUUUCAUCAGCUAACGAACCUCUUGUGGACAUUUUCGACACAAUACGUCGAGGUAAUCACCAACUAAGUGCUGCUUCAGCCUGCUUAUCCCUCCUUCCUUGAACUUUGUGUUGCACCAGUUACAGUUCCAAUAGUUCCGACUCGAGACAUGAUUGUAUCAAAACUUGAAUAAAUGAACACCAAAUUUUGCUAAAGAGUUGUUUGCAUGUUCCUAAAUAUAUUUUUAAUUUUACUAUUUUUUUAAAAAAAUUUAUAUAUAUAUAUAUCUAUUUUUUAUUUUUAAUCCAAAAAUAUAUUUUAAAUUUUAAAAAUUAUAAAUGAUCUAAAAAAUAAAAAAUUUUAUGUCAUCGUAUAGAUCAUCCAUAGAUCUACAACAUAGCAUGAAAUCAAUUCCCAAUCAAAAAUUUUGGCACGAUCUCUCCUUAUUUUGUAAAUUUUGAGCUAUUUUUUGGAGCCAAAAAAAUAAAAAAAAUGAGAUAGGAGAGAGGAAGCAUAACUUAUUUAGACUCGAAUCUUUCUUCAAUCACGCUGAAUCGGUAUGAUUUUACAAAUUAGGAGGAAGGGGGAGCCAUUUAGACUAAAGUCUAAACCAAACAGAGAAGAAGAUGUUAGGAAGGCCGAAAGCCUUCCCAACCCCUUUUAACAAAAGAAAGGAAGGGGGAGGGGGCCCAAUCUGAACUGGGUCGACUCUGGUUUGCAUCGAGUUUGAACGAAAUCAGCCGGUUCCGAACGGUUUCGGCCAGUUCGGUCCACUUAUGGCCGGUUCCGAUCGGUUCGAAAUCCGUUUCGGCCGGUUUGGGGCCAAAACCUUUAAUAGACAAACCGACCCGGUUUUCUACUGGAUCGGCUCGGUACAGGUCGAACCGGGCAGUUCGGGCCGGUUCGACAUACCAUAAUUUCUAGAUUACAAUAGAAGUGUAGCACAUACAUUGGGCAAAUCAUAAAAACCAUUACAAAAAUUUCUUUGCGACAACUAUAGUAAGUAGAUACGAGAAAUCCAUAUCUUAGGAGUAAUAUGACCCUGUUUGGGGGAGCUGUUGGUAGUAAAACUUUUAGAGAUAGAGCUGUUGGAAGUAGAGCUUUUUGAAGUAGAGCUUUUAUAAAAAGCUGUUUACUGUUUGGUAACUACAUUUCUAAAGUGCUAUGGCACUUUAACAUGUGUUUGGUAAACAAACCAAGAAAGUAUUUUUGUAUAACAAAAUUACCAUAAAAAACAUUGCAUUAGUAUUAUACAACAGAGCAUAAUAAAACAUAAUAUAUAUUAAUACAUAAAUAUAUGAUAUAAUAUAAAAUUAUUGUAAUAUAAUAUAAUAUUAUUAUAAUGUAGUAAUAUAACAUUGUAUACUAUAGCAUAAUAAUUUAAUAUAAUAUUAAAUUAUUUAACAUAACGUAUCAAUGUAUUAUGAUAUAAUGUAAUAUAAUAUUAUAUUUAUAGUAUAAUACAAUAAUAAAGAUACAAAAUAUUAUAAUUAUUAGCGUACAUUAAUUUUUCAUAAUAUAACAUAAUAUUAAAUUAUUUAAUACAAUAUAUUAACAAGAAUACCUUUCCUUGCACGGAAGGGAGUCUGAUCCAUGGCUAGAGUUCUUUGUUAGGGCUCCAGCAGAUUUUUAGGUUUAUAAAGGGACAAAGUAUGUAAUUGUUAUAUUUUAUUAUGGGUAUUUUGGUAAAAAAAAUAGCUUUUCAACAAAACUCAAAACAGCUUUUUCGAAAAGCUCCAAAAUGGAGCUUCUCCCAAAAGCUGUUUUUAGCAUUCUGAAAAAGCUAAAACAGCUUUCCGAAAUUUUUACCAAACACCAUUUUUCAUCCAAAAGUGCUUUUGGAGACCAGAAAGUGCUUUUUGGCCCUCCAAAAGCUCCCCCAAAUGGGGCCUAUAUCAUUUGUCCUCGAUAUGGCAGCCAAAGAAGAUGUCCAAAAAUCCUGCAAAACAAUCUUUCCCAUGAAAGUAGGAAAUAAAUAUUGUAUUAACUUAAUUAAGAUGAUAUAUUACAACAAUACUGGUUCUAAAUAUUGUGCAAAAUAAGGCUCAGUCCACCAAAACAAUCUCAGACUGAAGAAAGAUAUCAUUUCUUCAAUCUAUAUAAUAGUCAUCAGAUCGAGGAUAAUAACCUGGCCUUGGCGGUAAUAUGCUUUGGCAUUACCCUCUCUUUCGCGCAAUGCAAAGUCAGCAUCUAAUAAGGCACCCUUGGAAUUUCCUAAUUUCAAUUUGCAUGCCUGAAACAUAGAGUUUAAGAAAAUAAAAGCAAUUUGUUAGAACUAAACUUGCAAAACAUUUGUAGUUACCAAGAAGCCACAUAAACAGAAUGCACCCCUUAAUAAAUUGAUUGCAAUUUUAUGCGAUUAACUAAGAAGGCAAAUAUUUAGCUAGGACAGUUAAAUGAGCACUUCCAGCCGUUCAACUAAAUAAAUUAGUUAUAUUGGUCAUGAAUUUCCUGGUAGAACCUGGUGGUCAAUCUAAGACCAGAAAAUAUGUAAGCAAAGCUGCAGCUGAGCAGCAUUCCCUUGUCUUGCUCAGAAGCAAACCAAAGAAAACACUAAUAUCAGCUUUAUAGUCCUGAUUAAGGUAUUCCUUACCUAUCAUAAUUGGGCCACCUUGGCAAUUGUAUUCAGAAGGACCUUCAAAAAUAACUUCCUAGACAUCAUUUAUGGGUAGCUCUUUUUUGCUCUAAAAGAUAAAUAUUUUCAAAAAAACCCAUGGGGGAUAGCAGGAUCAGCCGGUGUUGUUUGCGCUGGCAAGACCCAAAACAUGCUGAACUAGCUUGACCGAAAUGGACUGGGGAUGUUAUGGAGGAGAUGUUUGGUAUUUUACAUGCUUCAGUUUCUACGGGACCAGAAUUGUUAGCAUCUUGAGGACAUAACAAGAUAAUGAUGAAAGCCUCCACCCCGGCACAAAAAACUUCAUAUUUGUUAGCAUCUUGAGGACAUAAUCAGAUAACAAUAAAAACCUCCAAGGCACAAAAAACUUCAUCACCACAAGAUGCAUUUGCAAGAUCAGAAGGUGACACAUGUCUACAAGGACAGAAAAUUGCAGUGUGUUGGUAGGGCAAUCAUGCUUGCAAUCAUUUGCAUUGAGAUGGGUGCAAUAUCAAUCAACAUUAAGCUUAUUGGUAUUGGUUUAUUUUGACAAUUGUAAUUUAUGUGCGCUGAUAAUAAAUCCAUAGUGCUCUCUUUUCCAAACGUACAUACACAGAAUUAAGACUUAUCAACAAAUAAACCUAAAUUCCAACAAGUCGCGCAUUAACUUUAAAAAACGAUAAUUUAGUAUGAGUACCAUUGGAUUGACUAGGUUGAACAGAGAGGCCAAGUCUAGAUUUAGAACAACCGGAAUCCCAAUAUAUAUACCCUCGUUCCUCAUAUUCUGCUCUCAGAUAAAGCCUCUUCAACCCAUAUUCUCUCCUCUAGAAUUGACAACUGAGCACCAGGAAGCAAUCUGUGGACAAUGCCUGACAGACAGUGGAGCAAGCAAUAAACUAAGGUAGCAUGCUUGGGUUCUCUCCCUCUUCCACCACCAUGUCACUCUAUCUGGAACAUGAUUAGGGUUUUGUGGGAUGUUGCCCUAAUAUUUAUUACAGCAAGUAAUGAAUGAAGUAAUGACAGGGCCCAGAGGUUAGAGUUGCUUAGCAUUGCAUUGAUUUAGGUCAGUCAACCCCAAUACAAAUCAGUCCCUACAUAAGCUGAGUAAGAGAAAAAUUAAGGAUGGAAAUGGAGCUUAAAAGGUGCACCAUAUAUGAUGUUAGAUUCGGAUGGCAACUUACAUCAACAUAUAUUGCAGAGAAUCCUUACAGAACCUAAAGGUAACUGGCAUUCAAAAGACAGUCAAGGAAACGAGAAUCUAAAGAGAGAUGGAAACAAAAAAGGAUCUUGAAAUAUCCAAAAGAGAUAACAAGGAUGCAGGAAAAGUUAAACAAGGUUGACUCCUUGGCUUUCAAUUAUCUACAUGAUAUAUUGGCUGAAAAGAAGAAAGGAAAUCAAAAAUACUAUGCUAGAUCAAGUUUAAAAAUCUUAAAGAUACAUAUUGUAGUGCAUGAAGAGUGAGAAAAGACAGCCUUGAUGAAAGUAGUACAAUAAAGAAAAGAGGCACAUGUUACUUCAGUUACAUUUAGAUUCUUUUCAAAGUGAGAAAGAACUUGUGAUUGCUCUCCGGUUACAUGAGCUAAGAUUGUUUAACCAUAAAGACAAUUUCUAGUUUAACAGCAAGAUCAAGAAAUAUCAUAAAGACAUUCCUACAAUGAAAAUUUUGUGAGUUAGUACAAUCAUUAAUUAGUGUGACACUUGCAGAAAGAACAAAAUAUAUGCUUGCCACUAGAUUCACUGUAUCAGCAAAAUUCAAACUAUCAAAAGGGUGGACCUGUUCAUCUGACGAAAUGCUUUUUUAUCUCAAUAAUUCUUUGGUGAAAAAUGACAUGAAAACUGUAGAUUCCCAGAACUUUCGAACUUUAUUCACAUCAUGGGCUGAAUAAGCAUAUAUGAAAUUAAUCAAAGCUUUGAGUGUUGGUCAUCACAACUAAAAUCAAUACUUCUAUUUGUUUCAAACUCAUGUAGGUCAAAACAGUGUCUAACCGCCAAUUAGCCUCCUAAAGUACAUGACAAUUCCCUCUUGCCAAGUGGUCAGCAAUUCAAAACCAAUGCAUAAGAUGUUAAUGCCAUUAAUGUUACUUGGAGAGUAAUCUAUAAAACUCUAUGAAUACUUUGAUGCAUAAAGGUAAACCCUAUAUAGAUUGGAUACUACUUUCUUAUAGAGCUUAAGGUCAUUAGAUGUCAAGGAACUUACUCAGAUUAACACAGUAGGGAUGUUCCAUUUUGAAUAAUCAAUUCAGAAUUAUAAAUAUAAGCAUGUAAAAAAAAUCUAUGUGAAAAACUACGAAGGCUUACAGAGCUAUUUGUGAGUAGAAUAGACUUUGUCUUCCGCAACAACAAGCUCUUCUCUGCAAAACCACAAAAAGAUGGAGAGAGAGAAAGAGAUUACUGCCAAAUACAUGCAUGCAUAAGUAUGUACAUGCCUACGUACGUAUAUAUGUGUAGAUAACAACUACAAUUAUUGCAAAUAAUGCUUGCCUUCAUCAAUCUCUUCUUUGUCCCAGCAAACAUCCAAGUAGCGCAGACCCUUACGGUACUUUCUAAGAGCCAUCUUAAAGUCCUGUUUCUGCUUGAAGCAAAAGAUUUUAAAUUCGGAAUGAGUAAUCUGAUAUCUAACAAAACCAAGUGAAACAAGAUAGAGAACCUUCAACACAAGUACCACUCUUUUGAAACAAUACAAGGAUGACAUAGACAAUCAGAAGAUAGUAAGAUGUACAUAUAUAUAAAAGGGUAAGAAAUAAAAACACAUUAAAUUACUUUCACAUUGGAAAACCAAUUAAAGCAAAUAUGAUGAAAACAAAAUCUAAAAACUGAACAUUCUACAUAAUCCAAUUAAAGAAAAUAAAUAGCAGCACGAACAGAGAUCAAGGUUUAAGAAAAUCACCUUGAAGUAGUCAUUUCCAAAAGCCUUAGCAGAGUCCACAGCAUUCAUCCACCAUGAGACCUUGCUUGGCUUCUCAUCAAGGUCGUUGGGCCAAUCUGGAUACAUAUCACCAUCUUUGAAAAAAUCUGAAACUCCAUCAUCAGCCCCUUCAGAAAGUUCUCCACAAUCCGCAAUUAUUACAUCAACAAUGGGAUAAUCACCAUCUCCAACAGGAGUAUGCUCAACUGCCCAAAUGAUUCCCAUACCUUUAACCACCUUGCCAAACACAACAUGUUUUCCAUCUAGAUGAGAUGUUCUAGUGGUAGUAAUAAAGAACUGAGAGCCAUUGGUGUUGGGGCCAGAAUUGGCCAUUGAUAGCAUUCCUUUUCUUUCAUGUUUCAAUAAAAAGUUCUCAUCCUCAAAUUUUAGUCCAUAUAUGGAUUCUCCUCCAGUUCCAUCACCCAUGGAUAUAUCUCCACCUUGUAUCAUAAAACCUUUGAUAACACGAUGAAAACAUGUACCCUGAAAUGAGCAGUUAAAAGUAUCAUAUACUCCAAAUAGCUUUAUACUGUUGUAUAAAUCAGAAGAGCAGCAAGACAGUAGAGUUCAGUUAUGCACAUUUUGUUGUUUUCAUUAUUAUACAAUAGAUCAAGUUGAGGAAAAAAAGUUCAAUGGAGAACUGCAUGUUAACUCAGUUCAAUUUAUCAAAAGAAAUGUUUUGACUAUGGAAUCAAAAAAAAAUUCUUCAAAUGAUAUAAAGAAUGUAGAUCAGUUUUGCCUUCCAAUAGGACAGAGGGACUAAGUUAAAAAAACUUUGCUUGUCAUCAUGUUCUAACUAAAAUGGGUUUCGAUAUGGUUGACCAAGAAUAGAGCAAAAACAAUAUUAAAACCAGUGUAGCCACAACAAGCAUCAUAUCAUCAAUUAAGUAUCAGCUUCGUGGAUCCUACAUCAAAAUUAGUUCCUAUUGAAGACCAAGACCUACAAAACAGUAAGGGGCUUUUCCCACUACCUCCAUCCAAGUUUCUCCAAAAGAGAUCAGUCAAUAAUUUGAAGUUAAAACAAAUUCGGAUCAUUAUCACAUUGCUCUCCCCACUCCAUCACUAUGCAAAGUAUUAAAUGGAAAAGACAACCAAUGUGAAGCAUGUCAAAUCACAAUUGUGCCACAAACAAAACAGUAUGUUUAAGAUGGAAAGGAAUGUGAGAUCAACAAGUUCUACACAGGAUUGGAGAGCAAAGCGGAUCGCAUACCUCACCUAUUGGGCAUUGGCAGAAUGUAUACAUUCGUCUAGCCUAUUGGAUAUUGAAGACCUCAAAAUAUCCUGAGUCCUGAUGCAGAUUAAAGCCUCUCAUAUCUUCCAAUAAGGUAACUAACCAUCAGAUUAUCUGACAGGUGUAGGAAUUGCCUUAAUUUCCCUAACUGAAAAUCAGACCUUAAUUUCCAACAUAACACUUUCAUUUGUUUUUCUAAAUAAAUUGUAAUACCUCAAAAAAAAAAAAUAGGGCUCAUGGGCUGGCCCGAAGGGGGCCAAGCCUAGCCCGACCGCUGACUAGCCCGCCUGUGGGCAUGUGGGCCCGCCCGGAGGGGCCAGGCCCGAGGGCUAUCCACGCUUGUCCAAGGGGGAAAACAGGGGAAGAAGACCCCGACUGGGAGUCUUCUUCCUCCCCUGAAUCCGGCGGAGGCGAGAGCUCCCAAAGGCCGAUCCGAGUUCGAUUCGAACUCUAGGAUCGCGCCUAUAAAUCUCCCUUUCUUCUCCUCCGAUUUCCACCACUAGAACCGCCAGAAGGUGCCACCGAUUUCAAGUAUUCCUCUCCGAGCCUUCACCUCGAUUCCUCGCCGGAAAACCUCGCCGAAUCGUCGUAGGACCGAGGUACGACCUGAGCUACCCUCUCUCUCGUUUCUAUGGUUUCUUUGGAGCCUAUGGACCGGCCGAAGGUCGCCGGAUUUGGACAGAGUGCUUGGGAAGCUCUGUUAUCCCCCGUUUUCAGAAGCUAAGUCUUCUUCAAUCUCUAUUCGUCACCGACGCAUGUCGCCGGGGCCUUCCCCUUGCUCUUCUCGGUGGUCGGAGGCUCCCUUCCCCCAGUUCCUCUCGGUGGCCUGAGGCCAUGGCCAAGGUCCCGGCCACGGGAUGCCUUUGUUCCACGGUUUAAGGGGUCAUAACCCCUAUUCAUCUUAUGGGCCCGGUGCCGCCAGCGACACUAUGGGUCGUCGGCCGCCAGGGGUCGCUGACCAUAGGCGGCUGCCGCUGCCGAGCACCUAUUCGGGAAGAAGAGAGGGCCUCACAACACUCUUCUUCUUCUCAUAUUUCUUCUCUCCUCUCUCUUGAUUUCUCUCUCUAUCCGAAUUAUUUUUUGCCCUAGAUUCUCUCUCUAGUUGGGGUUCUCUCUCUCUAAACUUGGAUCCAGAGAGAUCAUUGUUUUGAGGGUUCUGGAUUGUCAUAUAUCUUGGAUAAUUUUUAAUGAUGACUUGGUUCUAUAGGAAAACAAUCUGUUGAACGAGAGGACGCUGAGCGGGAUUCUGCGCAUCCCAGUUCAUAGAUCGUUGUGAGGGCGGAUGAUUAGUCUGUCUGAGUUUUUCAACAAAAUGUAAGAAUCUUUGUACGCCAAUCCUGUAUGAUAUAAAUAUUUUUACACCUGUUUAUGUAUGAUAUUCGAUGAUCCAGAUAAGUAAGAAGCAAGAAUAAUUUUAUAUUAAAUUAUAUUUUGAUUGUAUUCACUUAUGGUUGGUAUCAUGAUGGAUGCAUGCAUGCGCAUAACCUACACCUACAUAAUUGAAUUUAUGGAUGUGGUGCUCUAGACUAACUUUGAUAUUAUUUGAUUGCCCGUCGUGGGCUGGAAACGUGACCGUGGUUAAUCUAAAGCUGAAAAUUAAUAAAAAGGAUUGACGUGUGGAUGUGAAAUUGAUUAAAUAAACAUUGACUUUGGGUCGUCUUGUUCCUAUUGGUUUGUCCGUCACAGGCUCUAAGUGUGACAAUAUAGGUUUGCCCGUCACAGGCUCUAAGUGUGACAAUAUGGGUUUAUCCGUCACAGGCUCUAAGUGUGACACUAUUGGUUUGCCCGUCACAGGCUCUAAGUGUGACAAUAUUCGUUUGUCUAUCACAGGCUCUAAGUAUGACACUAUUGGUUUGCCCAUCACAAGCGCUAAGUGUGAUACUAUUGGUUUGCUCAUCACAAGCUCUAAGUGUGACAAUAUUGGUUUGCCCGUCACAGGCUCUAAGUGUGACACUAUUGGUUUGCCCCGUCACGGGCUGAAAACGUGACCGGAAUGUGGCCCAAAGUUAGAAAAAUAAUUGAUCCAGAUCAAGUUGAAAGAAAAAGCAUUGAAAACAGUAAUGAAGAUUUAUGAGCUAUCAUACGCAAUAUUAUUCUUGUGUGGCUAGAUUUUUAUUGAUGUUUGACGUACAUACUUAUAUUGUUUAUUUGAGGCUCUUGAUAUCCGGUUUAUGAUUUCAUGAUAUGUGCAUCGAUUUCUUGUGGUUUUCAAAUUCAUAUUAUUAUUGUAUUGGUAUGGAUGUGUAGGAAUUCUUACUAGACUGUAAAGCUCACCUCCCUUCUUCUUUCCCUUUUCAGAGUUGCAGGAUGUAUAGGCAUGGAUGGGUUGGGCGCGGAGUGCGAGUGUCAGAGUCAUCAAUUAGUUAGAUAAUUUAAUUGAUACCGAUGAAUAUUGAAAGUUCUUAUAAUUGAACAAAUUUGAUUAUCUGGACAUGUUGGAUUUGUCUAUUUAAAUUAAUUAAUUAAUUAUGGAUUUAUUGGAUUUUUGUUCAUCUUAGGCCUUGCAUGAUCUUUAGGGCACUAUUUAGGGCUCAUGCGGCUGGUUGCGUACCGGACCCGAGUGCUAGGUUCGAGGCGUGACAUAAAUAGCAGCAAUCAUCUUGACUAGGACUAUCACAGAAGUCAUACACUUGAGUACAAAAUAAUUGCUAUUCUUUGAGUAAAACAGUAGCACAGUCACUACCAUUUCAUUGAGAAUUUGAAAUGAUGGGAACAAAAUAAUAAUCAUUAAUCAAAUUCAAAUAACUAUUGCCAAAGGGAAAUAGGGUCAUUACUAAAGAUAAGUUCCACAAUGUGCAAAACAUGUUCGCCUUCAAAAUAAUAUUGUCAGCAACAGUAGCACUCCUCUUGAUACAAACCCUAUAUAUAUUAGCCCAGACGGUGGAAAAGCCAGGGGAUGCCGGUCUCUAUAUAUAUAUAUAUAUUUAUAUAUGCACACCCGCGUGCAUAUUGGUUGCAUGUCUCAUAGGCACAAACCACGCUAUUACUAAAUAAAUAAGCAAUAUGCAUUUAAUAAUAAUUCAUUUUUUAAAUUUAAACAUGACAAGAACAUAAGCAUAGGAAGAAAAUGGUAAGAUGCUCACAAGAAUAUCUUUUUUUUCAUCUUUUUAAGAUUUUGAAAGAACAACAAAGAUGGCCAAUGUAUACUUUUUCUUUUUCCCACAUCCAGACCAUCAAACUUCCAACUCGGUCGACUCGUGACGCAAGUCGACUCAGUAGAAAACUGGUUGUUACAGCAUCUAUAUUAUAUAGCACGAGACACCUGAAGAUUCUUAUUACCAGUCGACUCGCUUGAGUCGCUUUCUAAAUAAUUGAACCAAAAAAAAACAACAACAAAAGAUAUGCACAACGACUGAAUGUUCCUCUGCGGACAACCCCAGGUGAGGACAACACCAAGCCCAUGAGGACAAGAACCCAAGACCAAAACCAAGGAAAAGACUCUGAUACCCUCAAACACCAGAACAAGAAGCCGCCUUUCGCCCCACAAUUCCUCCAACUCCAAGGGCAAAUAAAAGAAAAACAAUCGAACAAGCCAGAAACACAGCGACAGGAGGUACCUUGUAGUGGAGCGGCACGCCGGUAUUAGGCCCGAUGCCUUUCUCCCCGGUGCACAGCGCCCUGAAGUUCUCCGCCGUCCUCGGCGCCACCCCGUCAUAGAGCUCCACCACGAUCCUCCCUUCCAUCUCCCCUCCGAUGCUGAUAUCCAUGUAGCACCGCGGAUUCGCCGCCCUCUUCUCCUCCCCUCCCUCCAUCUCUCUACACUCACUCACUCUCUCUCUCCUCCCCCCCAAUAAACCGCCCUCAGAAACCCUAAUCUCCCUCAAAUUUUCUUCUCCGUUGGAGCGCACCAGUGGCCUCCUUAGGAGAAGCGCUUUACAUUCAAAUCGAAACUCCCCCCUUCCUUUAAUAAUGCCCACGAUGGGUUAAUAAUAUGUUGACAUUAAUAAAUUCUUUUUAAAUUUUUUUUCCCAAUUUAUUGCGAGACUGGAUGGGGAUUAAUGGUGUGGAAUGUUGGCCCAAACGUGGGCGCAUAUGAGCUAUCUUGACACCAUCGGUACUGAGUUACAAGUUACCUGGCAGAUCUUCACCAUACACAAUGUGCCCUGCAAGCCAGCUUAAUUAUACUAAAGAAUGACUCGGCUACAGUGACUAAUUCGAUCUAGAAUAACCUGAGCAGUAUAGGGAUCAUUUCUUAAUUCGAGACAUCUGAACGAUGGAUAAAAAUGAGGAGGUCUUACAGACCAAGCAUGUAUUUAAAGAGACCAACGAGGUCACAGAUUGAGUGGCUACUUACGUGGCCAGCCAUUCUGGUGGUAUUUUAUAUAUUCGAGAGGAGGAGCUGCUUAAGGCACUUCGUGAUAUUUUGUUUGCUGGUUCUAUUGAAUGUGUUCGUACCAUGCAGUAUGACUCAUCCUCUUUAUCAGCAGCAAUAAUAAUAAUAAUAAUAAUAAUAAUAAUAAAAAUAAUAAAAUAACGCGUGCGCAAACCCUAGUGCGGCAUUUGGUGGGUUAUUGUGCUCUAACUCCUUGCGUGGGUGUGAUUAAUUAUGUUAUCUUUUCUUCAUUUCUGGGUUUGUUUACUGGAUGUGAUGAGUCAGCGAGGACAAGAUUUUUUUGGCUCCUUCCGGAUUGGUCGUUGGGGUGUCGGAGAGUGGCGUCCAGGGCUGCGAUCGAUGGUGGGUUGCACUUUUGGACGGUCCUGCGUGGCAUUUGGUUUACGAAGGUGGCAUCCUUAUAUACAAUGCGAGUUUGAAAGGUGUUAAUUAUUAGAAGUUUGUUUGGUCUUAUUAUAGAUUAGUUGGAUAAGCAUUGUCACUAUGAAAUAUGAUAUUUUUUGUUUUUUUUUCCUUCUUGGUAAGAGACGGAGAUCCAAGUCUCUAACUCUGCAUAUUGUUUAUUAGGAAGAGCGUGUUUGCUGGGCUAUUGUGCAAUUCUAGUACUCUUUCAGAAUGAAACUGGCAAAAGUAAUUUACCGAUUAGGUUUUCUAUUUGUGUGCGCGUUAAAAUGGAUGAAUAAUAUAAAUCUAAUAUGAGUAUAGCUUUAAAAGUUAAAAAAUAAAAUAUUAAAAAAAUAAAACCGUACGAUUUAUUUAAGUAUCUCAUCAUAAUGAUCGGCAAUAAAAAAAUGCAAUUUAGUCACGGUAUUAUACGUGCCACGAUAAAUAUAACUCAUUCUAAAGAUAAUAAUUAGAUUUAUUACAUAAUAUUUUUUAAGAUAAAAUAAGAAACCAAUGUAUUGGGCACUCUAAAAUAUAUAGUGUUGGAAAUGGAGAAAGGACAUGCAAGAAAGUUUGCAUGCACCAUCCUUAUAAAUAUCUAUCUACGGGGUAGAUAUUAAGAGGGAGGAGUACCCGGGUGCAUGUCAUUGGCUAGUGUGGGGCAUUAACAGUUACUUAAACGUAAAGCUAAAGGCUCUAAACAAAUCUCAACCACUCAGUUCUCUCUCUCUCCUAAUAAGAAAUCUUCAUUCUUAUAUUUUCUUUAGUGCAGCAAAAGGUGGAAGCUUACCGUCAAAUCUAAGAUCAAAAGAAGCUACAAAUUUGUUAACAGUUUCUAUGGUUUGCAUCUUUCUUUUUUUUUUCUUUUUUUUUUGAUACAAUGGUAACCCACACCAACAUGAGUAUAUCCGGAAAGAUAAAAAAAAAAGUAUCGAUGGAAGGAGGAAGAAACAAACUCAAGACUCUUCUAGAGAAACUUUUCUGAAUGGUGCGCAACAUAAGUGCAAUAUAGUCGGCAGCACUAUUCGUCUUCCAAGAUGAUACUAUCUUUAUUCAUUCAUUUAUUCAGGAGGAAGAAACAAACUCAAGACUCUUCUAGAGAAACUUUUCUGAAUGGUGCGCAACAUAAGUGCAAUAUAGUCGGCAGCACUAUUCGCCUUCCAAGAGGAUACUAUCUUUAUUCAUUCAUUUAUUCACCUCCGCCCCUACCCUGGAGGGUCCUCCCCUCCCCCCCCCCCCCAAACUAGAAAAGUAGGAUAAAAAACAGUACCCCCUCUGAUGACUUCUAAAUUUAUACGUGCAUGAAACCAUGCACCAUUAUUGACCUUGAACAAUAUUAUAUAGCUUUGAUUUCAUGGCUUACAAUUUCAAUCGAAAGUUUCCACUGUGGGGUCAUUCAUAAACAGCAUAAUCUUCUGCGGAUGAGAAGGCAUACCACCUCUCAGCCUCACAUCUUGGGUUCCACCAGCCUGCCACUCACGUCUUGGUGCACCAUUCAAGUAAAGUUGCGCUGCCUUUCCUAAAACCAUAGCCGCUGACCAAAACUCGAUGCACAUGACGGAGUCUACUGAUAGCAAGCAAUAUGCUCUGUUUAUAUGACGAAAUUUUUUUCGUUCUAAGAAUGGUGAAUUCGUUGCUCAAAGUUUCAAAAACAAUAAAUACAUAGCAUGUCAACAAACAACAAUGGUGAGUUCACUUGGAAAGGAGAACAUCAAAUACUACAAAUGAAUUCAAAUAACAUUUACUUCUUUGCUUUUAAGAUAUCUACUUGUCUCAAUGGUAACAAAGAAAAUAAAAAACACACUUUCUGACUUCCUUGCAUUGUACUUGGUGAACUAGGCGAUGCCCUUGGUCAAAUCCCUCCUUUCAUUGAGAUGGUGGUUCUCCAUUCAUUUGCAAUAUCUGGACUUGGGUACCUUAUCUCGAGUAGGACCUCUUUCCCUUUCUCUUCAACCCAUUUGUUUAUUUGUUGGCCUGUUUUCCACAAGCAAUGUCAUUGCCAUUCUCCCCUUUAACGCCUGGGAUUUUUCAUGACCUCGGAUUUUUCCUUCUAUUAUUUCAAGCAUCACUUGUCAGAUCCACCCUCUUAUAAUUAAGGAGACCAUCACCCAGUCUACAGACAGCUUCUUUGUUGUGCAUAUAUGGUGAUGAAGAAGCUUUCUCUACAUCAAAUGAUAUCUGCUACAAAGUAUAAACAUGACUUUAUGUCAAGAAGCCCCUGUGACCAUUGAUUCAGUGAUGGUAGAACUAUACCUGACCAAUCUAUCAUACCGGCACUUUCUCAAGGGUGGUCAUAUCUACAAGAGACGUCACCAAGCAUUGUAACUUUCUUGUCAAUGCUUCAUCCAAAAAAAAAAAGCUUUCUUGUCAAUGCUGGUGUCAAGAUUUGAAUAGAAUAUUGUAGUGCCUGUGCCUGUCUAACAAAGCCCACUGAUCUGUUUCUGAGAGACCAUUCUAAUUACAAGGCCUGUAAUGUGAACUUCAGUCUUCCUCCACUCGGGGAAAAAAAUAGAGCCAAUGCUGACCGCACUUUUUGAUACAACAGCUCUUAGCAUUUCAGAAAGGCGCUCAACUUGCAGCAUUAACAGUAACCCAACCGGGGCUUCAUUGCAAGGCACUGUCUGGAUAUCACCCAGAUGCUAGUAAAUCCCAUGGUCUAGCUCCAAAUGAUUGAUACUUGGGCUAGCUCAUGGAAUCCCUCACAGAUUUCGUGUUGUCGCUAUUUGGCUCAUUAUUGAUCCAAUCAGAGAAAGAUUUUCUUCAAGUCGUUCAACUCGAAUCUUCAUAAUAAAACUAGAACAAGAUGGAAGAAUUACGAAAGUAGGGCCUAAGUCUCAUUUUCUUUUAUUAAUGAUUAAAAAAAUCAAAAUACAUAAUCUAUAUUUAUAAUAGUGAAGUCUGCCUUUAUAUGAUUUGGGUCGGAUGCCCCUUUUUAAUCUUAAUAGAACUUUAUUUUCUAAAAUAGAUAUCAUUAGUAGAAAUCUUCUACAAAAAGCUAAAGUUAUGGAAGAAGUAGAUCUUGACUUCUACAUUAACUCUAUCUUCUAAUUCUUCUUGGAUAAAGAAGUACGUCCGACUAAAAUCUUAUCCAAAAAAGAAAUUUUUUGAUUUGACCGGUCCGUUUUAAAUCUCAAACGAUAGAAUUUGUACUCGAUCACUAGGGGCCUCGCCCUCUAAAAGGCGUAGCAUCAUGUCGAAGAUCUUGACAACUGCCCGAUUUUAAAAAAAAAACGACCAUGUCAAUCAAACGUCGUACCACCAAGUUACGGCCUUCGGAAGUUUUGGGCACGACUCAAUUUUCUGAUAUGGCGGAUCUUGCUUCUAAACUCUAUCCAGCCUUGCUCGUAGUGGCCAAAGUAGUUCAUAUCGAUAUGAAAAUCCUCCUAAAUCAACUAUGCUCUUGUUACUCGGAACAACUUGCCCCCAGUCCUCCUAUCACCCGUUCCAUUUUAGAGAUGGUAUACCAAUAUAGGAGGCGAAAUAGGCAGCCCAUUGGUAGCGUGUUAGGGUCAGUAGGUAACGUAGGGCCACCAAUCUGCCACCAACCCUACCCCACUCUCUUCAACCAAUGAAAGGCUCAGGCGAGUCAUAAAUCUUUCAUCUUGAGCUGGACUGCUAUGGGGCUGUCCCCAUAACUCACUAGGAGAGAUAUCGACCAAUUAUAAAGGAACCCCCAGUCGUCCAACCAUGCUGAAACUUGGCUCAGCUCGAGUACAGGAGACAAAAGUACACCAGCCAACAGUGGGAGGGCAUUCAUACAGAAUAUUGCAGCCAUCAAUGCCUUCCUCUCUUGCAAACACAGCCAUUCAUGCAGUGGGAGGGCAUUUCAUACAGGAUAUAAGAUCUAUCAAUGCCUUCUUCUCUUGCAAACACGGCCAUUCAUGCAAUCCCCCAUGAGUGCUGAACAUCUGCAAGUGGUAGGAAUUCACUCCACGGCAUCAGACUGAAUUUUUUUAAAAUAUUCUGAGACUCACCUCAAGACAGAAAUAUGGGUUAUAUGUUUGAAUUGAUCUCUCAAACAGAACAAUUCAACCAGAUCAGCCGACUACGUCACCCUCGCUCUCUAAUCACCAUUACAUCAAAAAUUAUCUCUAAGUACCAUGUUAAUGUGGGCGAGAUUCAAAACCAUGGCAGGCAAAUUGAACAACUUUUAUUGAGAAGCAUAUCCACAGUCAUUAUCCGGCAAACAGACAUGUAGAAAUGAUGCUAGUUUUCAAAACAGAACAAUGGUUCUCUACAUCCUGUGAUCUAUCGGUACUUCAUGUCUGCACUGCCUAAUUAUAGUAUAGGUUGAAAUAUUACUUGUUAAAAUUGUUUUUUAUCUGCAGAACUUGUAGAUGCAGCAUUGCCUCAUUCUAUUUUUCUUGCAUUCAAAAAUCCAGUAUCAUCUGAUGCUCAUCCUACACUCACUACAAGUCGGCGAGCUGCUCAGAUGGUGCUAUCUUGGUUUAUUUAACUCAUACAAUGCUACUCCAUCCUGUUGCAUGAAAAAAAAAUCUGAUAAAUCGAAGAAAAAUAAUUGAAUACUUUUGCAGAACCCUGGUAUUAUUCAGUAAUGUUGUAAUAAACAACAGGCCUCCGGCCAUUUUAAUAUGAGACGAUGAAUUUAUGCAGUCUAUACCUGAAGAGGAAGGCCACUUUGAUAACAAAGCACGAGCUAACAGACUAUAUGCAGAUUCACUGUUUACAGUACUAUUUUCACAAUUGGGCACAUAGAAAACUAGGUUCCUCCCCUUAUUUUCCCGUUCCUUUUCUGCUACAUAUUUGCUAUCGAACCACCAAUUUAGAAUUCUUUGGUCCACCAUUUUUGUGAAAAAUUUGUUGUCCACACAUCUUUGGUAAUCAUCAAGUUCACUGUGUCAUCAUCAUAUUAUGGCAGCCAGUUAUAACCAUGCUAUUUUUUUGGCAUUAUUAUUUCAGCCUUGCAAGCAUGCAAAAAAACACGAGUCAGGAAAGCAGCAAUGCAACAAUGUGUGCAGUUCUUGGUUGAGCCAAAUAAUGACGUUCGAUCACUAAUGAGACUUGGAUUAUGCUUGAUCCCUUCACUUAGUUUUUUCAGAUAUGAGCUUAUUUCGUUCCUCAAGGUCAUCCAUAAAUGUUCUUCUUUCACUUAAUAUUGACAUGGUAGAUCCUUGAUUGAUCCUAAUUCUUGUUGCAUUCAGAAGUUUAGCACAUACAGAUAUGGAAUCUGAAUGCAUAUUUGCAUCAGGAACUUGUGUCUCUCAUGCAUUAUGUUGCUGAAAUUCUUUGGACAUUGACUCCUUGCAAGGUUGGUCUAUAUAACUUAUAUUAGCUUUCUCUGAUCAUGCAUUUUUGUGGACUUACUAAAACUAAAUUUUUGAAUCCAAGUUUGUAAAAUAGCUUCAACAAACCUGAGGGGGAAAUUGAGGGAAAAGGAAGGUUUCAAGACCCACUGUUGGUACUCAAACUUGUUGCUCUCAUCAUUCCAAUCCCUCAGCCAAAUGAUUGCUUGAGGUCAUUAAAUGUUCUUUUGUUUGAACUUCUAUUGAAGUAUGUUUGUGCAAAUAGCAUUGCUCAAGGUCAUUAAAUAGUCUCCCAAUCAGGCGGUCUCAUGUUAUUUAUCAUGGGAUACUGGCAUACAUUUGGAUUUUGGAGCCAUAUACCUAGAAUAUGGUGGUAUUGCUACGUAUGAGUUGAAUUUGCGAUCUCACCACUGAGGAUAGGGUUGUCACUGGAUUCCAUCAGCAACUAACUUUUUUGGAGAGGCCUGUUUCAGUAUUAGAGCUUUGGGACAGUCAAAAAAAAGUUGUCAGGUCCCGGGGAUGGUUUACUCGGUGGCUGUAAGAAGUGCUGCGAACCUUCCACUAGGUUGAUGGAAAAAUAAUACCUCAUGCCAUUUGGGUUGGUAUAUUUAUUUCUUCAUUCUUCUUUUUCCUAUCUGUCUGUCCAUCUAUCUAGAGAGAGAGAGAGGCCCCCAUCGAUCAACUAAAGAAUGAAGAAUGGCAGUAGAUACAUCCGACAAACAAUAUAACCAUCUAGCCGGGUAGAAGACAUCAACAUCCACAGGCAGGUGCUCUACCAUGGAUCCACCGAUAAUGAGAACACUCUAAAGCACAGGCUGAAGCUCUUUCAUUUAUCAGGGACACCUUAGUCCAAUCUCUCAACAGAGAUUUGAUGUGAUGUUGUGAAUGAUCUGAAGAGCAGAGCACUUGAAGCAAACAAAAGCUCCUUUAGCAUGCAGUGGCUGUCAAAAGUGCCCCAUCCCCUUCUAAAUGAUGGACUAAAUUUUCUUUCUUUUCAUUGUUAACACUGAGAAACAAGAUUUUCCUCUACUCUCUCUCCUUGUACAUCCUCAACCAAAAUUUGAACAUGAAGGAUCUCCAGUGAUGCUCCCACAGGUAUGCAGAUAUCCAAGUACCGGCAGCUAAGGACUCGGACCAUGGCCAACUUGUUUAUAAUCAUAGUUUUGUAUAGGUGCAGCUCUGCGCAAAUCCUCACUCAUCCAAUGACCUAUGUAGAUCAAAUGGAUAUAUGCACUUUGUCUAUAAUUGAGAUGUACAUUGGUAUCACUUAAGCAAAUCGAAUGAUUCAUAAUGUCCAAUUAUCUGAUGACAACCCUCCAUAAUUUUGUGGACAUACAAACAGUGGACCUUUUAAUUCAACAUUAAUUCAGUGCAUAUUUUUGGAACGACUGGUGCUAAAUCUUAAUGCCUAUAGUUUUGAGUCUUCCUAAUAAACCAGUAGGAAUAUCUAUAUUUGUCUGUUUCUCUAGCUAUCUAUAUAUCUGAUAAUCUAAUGAUCAAACGAUCCAUCCAUGUAUAUCCAUCUAUCUACCUGUUGGUGCUAAAUCCUAAUGCCUAUAGUUUUGAAUCUUCCUAAUAAACCGGCAGCAAUUUCUCUAUCUGUCUGUUUGUCUAUCUACCUAUAUAUCUAAUAAUCUAAUGAUUGAACGGUCCAUCCAUCUAUAUAUACAUACAUGCAUAUGUACAUAUGCACAUGUACAAACAUAGAUGCAUAUAUGCAUGCAUGCCUACAUCCAUGCAUUCAUCCAUCUAUCCAUUCAUCCAUACAUGCAUGCAUGCAUCCAUCCAUCCAUCCAUCCAUGAAUACAUGCAUGCAUACAUACAUCCAUGCUUACAUGCAUGCAUACAUAUUAGUAAAUGACAUGGAUCCCACAUCAGUGAUCCAAGCUUUUGGAUGCAACUACUACUUCUAAACUGCUUAUGCACUGAUUUGGAGACCCCUAGCCUAGGCAUCAAGUCGUCAAUUUUUGCGUGUUAUUUAAACUAUCCAAUUUUUUGACCACUUGAUGCAUAAGCUAAAGGUCUCCAAAUGACAUAAUUUUGUUGUUUAAGCAGUUAGAGAUAGUCAAUCACAUCCAACAACGUGGAUCAUCUAUAUUGGAUCCCCAUAACCCAAUUCAAAAAAGGUGUAACUCUAUAAAAGUCACACCAGGUGUAACUAGAAUGAUAUCAAAGAUUUUAUGCUCAAAAUUUAUUUAUUUUGACGUUUUCUUUUUCUCGACUUGAGAGCCUGCAGGCAUAACUGCCCAAGAACACAUUUGACAUGAGUUUCAAAGCAGCCUGACCAGUGUAUAUUGAAAAAAAUCUAUACCAUGAGCUACUAGAUUAAUUACUGAUUCCUUUUCUUUUUCGCUAACAAAAAUCAAUUUUGUUGCUUUGCUCUAUGCUAAUUUUGAACAAAUAAGUUGAGAUUCACAUCUCCAAAGAGUCUUUAUAUUUUAGAAUCUGCAGACUUAGGUCCUGUUUGGUUGGUGUAAGUGGACCAAGCAGGAGCCUAAUUCACUGAAGUGGCUUCAGCUCCCCCGGACUGAAACCACUUCACGCUUUUUCUCCCUUAAAUUGGGCCACACAGAACUCAGUUCAUCUCCAUUUCAGACCAAUCAAACACC